GGCUACUUGUUAUCCGUCAUUUAUGGAGCAAUUAGCUCCUGCUUGUGCAUCAACUGUUGAAUCAAGAGUACAGCAGGAUGGUAAAGUUGUUACGAGUCGUGGACCUGGCACUACUAUGGAGUUUGCUGUUGCACUUGUUGAGCAGUUGUAUGGGAAAGAGAGAGCUGAUGAAGUUUCUGGGCCACUGGUAGUAACUUUUAUAGAUAAUGUUGCUUAAAAAAAUUGUGAGUCAUAUAAUUUGUGGAAAUUCAUUCUAAUAGGUAUGUCAACUUGGAAGGUUCAGAUGCUAAUGUAUUCCAAAAAAUUAGUUCAGGGGAAAAGUAUGACUUUUUGCAUUAGAGAUUCAUUAGAUGAAGUUGUAUACCUGCUGGCCCAUCUUAAUGUGGUGAAAACGAUGACUGCUAAGACUGAUAUAAUUAUCGGAAUCUUGAUAAAUGCAUUUGUUGAGCUUCAAUGUCUCCACUGAUCACAUUCUUUUUAAUGUAAGUUCUUUCUCUUGGUAUUUGUCUUUGAAUUUUCUCUUCCUCAUGCUUUCGUCUUCACUGUCACCUUGUGCCUAGGUAAUGCGUGCAAAUCAUGGAGAUGAAUACACUAUUGCUGAAUUCAAUCCAAUUCAGUGGACAUUUGACAAUUCUCCCCAGGUGAGAUUGGACUUCUAGUUUCUUGUAUUUGUUUUCCUUCAUCUGAUGUUUUCAGGGAUACCCAUUUGGCAGUAUAUAAAAAUCUGUGAUAUCUUCUAUACAUAUACAUAUACAUCAUUGGCUUCAGUCAUUUGUGAACAUAUUGGAGGUAGUAGAUGUAUUUUUAUGGUAUCUCUAAUAAAAUCCCAAGUUUGAUCAAUUACAAAAGAAGUAUGAGCGGUGCUGGACCGGGUUGGGGGGAAGUGGGGGGUCAGUGUGGUGGGCGUGUGCGGUGCAUGAAUAAAGGAAAUGAUAGGGGGUAAAAGUUUGUGCUACCGACAUGCUGUCAAAUGGGGAUACAAUAUUUCAAAUUAGAGAUUGUGAGAUCCUUAAUAUUGCUGACUUGUGCUUAAAAUGGAAUUCUUGAUAACUUCAAAUGUUAAAUUUCUUGGUGAAAUUUUGUACUUUCUUUUCUUUCAGAUUCUUGUGCCUAUUGCAAAUGGUUCGGAGGAGAUGGAAGCUGUUAUGAUAAUUGAUAUUCUGCGACGAGCUAAAGCAAAUGUUGUAGUUGCAUCAGUUGAGGAUAAACUAGAAAUUCUGGCUUCUCGUCAAAUUAAAUUAGUGGCAGAUGUGCUCAUUGAUGAGGCAGCUAAACUGUCGUAUGAUUUAAUUGUCUUGCCAGUGAGUUGGGGUGCAUACACUUGCUUCAUAGUCUUUACCACAUUAUUGACUUACUAACUACAAUUUAUCCAUGCACAUUGCACAGGGUGGACUUGGUGGCGCUCAAGCAUUUGCGAAGUCAGAUAAAUUGGUGAAUAUGCUAAAGAAGCAAAAGGAAUCAAAUAGACCUUAUGGUGCUAUAUGUGCAUCCCCAGCUUUAGUGUUGGAGCCCCAUGGCUUACUCAAGGUACGACCGUUUCUGCUUAAAUUAUUUACUCAGAUUUGGAUCACCCAAUCUGAACUUGAUGAAGGAUUAUGAUGUUGUGUGAUUUUAUGAAUGUGGUCGUAUCUCAUGUAAGUCAGUGAUGAAUUAAUUGGAGUUUGCUGACAAAUUAGAAACUGAAAAACUGCUGCUGCUUCAUUAGUUACAUUACCCAAAGAGUUAAAAUAAACAUCCCAAAUUUUGUCCCAAAUUCUGUCCCAAAUGAUAUGGCAUUUAUUGAGUGAUUGUAUUAUCUAACCAACCAAUUGAUGAAUGUCACAUAAUUUGAGAUGGUUUUUUGGGAUAAAGAAUUUGGGAUUUUUACCCGCAAAAAUCCCAAGUACUUCCUGCUCCUGCAAUAUCAUUGCUGUGUAUUUGCUUUCCCCUUAGACAUAUUCAAUUGUGGUUCAGGGUAAAAAAGCUACAGCUUUUCCUGCUAUGUGCAACAAGCUGUCAGAUCAGAGUGAAAUCGAAAACAGGGUUGUGGUUGAUGGCAACCUCAUCACCAGUAGAGGGCCAGGAACUUCUAUGGAGUUUGCACUGGCAAUUGUGGAGAAGUUUUUGGGCCGCAACAAGGCACUUGAGCUUGCAAAGAUAAUGCUUUUCACUCGCGCCUAACGUUUGUAUGGGGACCUGUCUACUAUUAAACUAGUGUGUUUAUUUCUGUAUUGCUACUGCUUGUAGAGAGGGGAAAUGGAAACUUGAAUUCAUGUUUGAAUAUGGAUUCACUGUGUGGGUUUGUACAGCAGUUUGGUUUAUAAAUAAAUGAGUUCAUGGAGUCACUUCAAAUAUUCGGAAUAAACCUGAGUUUAGAUCUGUUAUCAAUGGUCGGAGUCCAAUUGCGAUCGACUCACUGGGAAUUUUAAUUAUGAAUCAUGUUAUAUUCCACCUUUCUCAUAAAAUGUUAACUCGAUUUACAGGAUAAGAAGGAAAAGAAAGACGCUAAGAGAGGAGCAGACACCCAAAAAGAGUUGACCACUUUGUUGGAACAUAAAUCUCUAGAAUAUUGAAAUAAAACACAUACCAUAUCUAGUAUCAAGUAUGUAUGUGCAAGAAGAUACAAAUUUGAAGAUCAGAUUUCUCAUUUCAAUUUAUGUUCUGCUUAGAGCAAUGGCUCUUAUUCCACAAGCACAAGCAGGAAAGAGUACGCACGAAGUUAAGAAACACACAUUGCAAAAGUUGCAUUAACUACUUGCGGCAACAUCAUCCAAGAACUUGACUUUAAUCUUCUUGAGCUUCGCUGCAGCAUCUGUCAUAUGCAUUCUCUUGUCAGGUGACUCCAUACAACAAUCCAAUGCCAAAUCCAUGAUGCUUAAUAAACAAUCCAUUUUGGCAGAAAAAGCUUGCUCUUCUCGCACCAAAUUUGCGUCAACAACUUCACUCAAUCUGUGAGGUAAUGACUCCUUCACCCAUCUCCUUAAACUCAUUUCUUCUGUGAACAUUUGAUCGGUGGGCCUCUUUCUCGUGAAAGUUUCCAUCAAUAACACACCAUAGCUGUAGACAUCACAUUUGGCUGAAACAAUUCCUUCUAAUCCAUACUCUGCAUUUUUUAAUUUUAAUUAUGAAACAAAUGAUAAAACAAAUAAUUUUUUUGAUAAUUAAGGUAACCCAAACUUUGCUCGUGCUUGAAAAAAGAGCAAAAAUUUUAAUUACAAUUGAAACUUUACCUGGUGCCAUAUAACCAAUUGUAGCCAUUGUCAUGGUUUGUGUCACACAAUCUUCUCCUUCACCUAAGAGUUUGGAAAUGCCGAAGUCGCACACAUGUGCCAUCAUAUUUUCAUCCAAGAGAAUGUUGGUGGGCUUCAAAUCACAAUGAAUUAUAGGUGCCGACGAAUGACCAUGAUGGAGAUAUUCAAGAGCCGACCCCACAUCUAUCAUUAUAUUCAACCUCUCUAGAAUGUCUAAGAAAUAAUUGUAAGAAUACAACCACUUCUCGAGACUACCAUUUGGCAUGAACUCAAGUACCAAUGCUUUGAAAUCUGGAUUAGAACAACUGCUAAGGAUCUUUAUGAGAUUUCGAUGACGAACAUUCCGUAAAACUUCACAUUCAGAAUCAAAACUCCUAAAUGCUCUCUCUAGUUGCAGAUUGAAAAUCUUUAUUGCAACAUUAGUCCCGUCGGAAAUGGUUCCUUUAUAAACUGAUCCAAAACUACCUGUACCCAGCAAGUUACAUUCAUUAAAUUCAUCAGUUGCUCGUUGAAUGUCAAGGUAGGAUGUUCUUCUCCAUGUUGCAAGAGGUAGGAAAUCUUCGUGAUCUGAUUUUUUUGUACUCCUCUUUCGGCAUCUUAUGUACAUAAUGAUGAUAAUCACUAUAAGUACAGAGGAUACUAUCGGAGGCAAAAUAUAUUUAAGGACAAUUAGAGCAACGUUCUUGGUGCUUUUGCUGUCACCUUGUUUGCAAGGUGGGACUCGGAGUUUAGGUGGACCACAGAGUGCAUAAUUUCCGAAAAAUGAUUCAGUUGACAAGUUUUUAAAAGACCCCUUAACAGGAAUUUCCCCUUCUAGCCUAUUAUGAGACACAUUAAAUUGUUUGAGAUGUGACAAUAUCUCCAAUGACUUAGGAAUUUUUCCAGAGAGAUUGUUGCCGGAGAGAUCUAAGGAUUCUAAGCUUAUCAAACUGCCAACUGAUUCAGGAAUAGGUCCCUGAAAUUGAUUACGAGCCAAGGAUAGAGUUUCUAGAUCUAUGAGGGCACCAAUGGUUGAUGGAAUAUCACCUAAUAAUUGAUUCCUUGAUAAAUCUAAAACUGUCAAGACCUUUAACUUUUGUACAUUGGAAGGGAGAGGACCAUUUAAUGAAUUAGACGACAAGUUUAUCUCUAAGAUGUACUCAAGGCUCCACAAGGAUGACGGUAUACUAGAAGUGAGCUUGUUGGAGCCUAAGCGGAGUUCUCUUAGAGAUGUCAAACUCGCCAAGCAUGGCGGUAUAUGUCCAGAGAGCUUAUUUCCAUUUAACCUUAUUCCGUAUAUCAACUCCAAGUGGCAAAGAUCAUAGGGAAUGGAUCCUUCCAAAUUAUUUUCUUCAAGAGAUAAACCUUGUAGCCGCUUAAGUCUUCCCAUCGUUGGUGAAAUAGUUCCAUUCAAGUCAUUGAAGCCGAGGCUUAAGAGGAUCAGGCCACGCAACUUACCAAUUUCUUUAGGAAUGCUGCCCCCGAGUUUGCAGUUGGAUGCAUAAAAUUGUCGAAGAGAAGCAGAGAAAUUUCCAAUCACUGGUGGAAGGAUGCCACCCAAUGGAUUAUAAGCUAAGGCUAAAAAUGUUAAAUUUCUGCAAUUAGUCAGAGAAGAGAGAAAACUCCACUGAUCUGCUGAAGAUGAUUCUGUCGUCAAGUUAUUAAAUGCUAAGCUGAGCACGUCGAGGUGUCUCAAGUUGCCAAAUGUAUUUGGAAUAUGGCCCGAGAAUGAGUUGAAGCCCAAGUCUAGGGCAACGAGUUUAGUAGCAUUGGUGAUAGAGUGGGGAAUUAUCCCUAUAAGAUUAUUGGCCGACAAGGCUAAAUACUCUAUGUUCGGAAGCGAGUGGCCAAUCGUUGACGGUAAGCGGCCUGAGAGUUGAUUGCCCCCCAGAGUAAGGAUUCUCAUGGUUGAAAUGUUGAAGAUCGUGGGUGGAAUGAGGCCACUUAAAUUGUUGUCAGCAAAAACAAGAACCUCCAAAUUUUCCAGAUUGCCAAUCUCGGUUGGAAUUUGACCUGCCAUCAGGCCAACAUUGAGGAGUCAUUGAGCUUUUAGCUUAAGGUAAAUUGAGUUUGACAAUGUUACCCUUGAAAAUGUAAAAGGAUCAAAUUAAUUUUAUUACACAAUAAUUUCAGCCAAUAAUGUUCUUUACACAAUAAUUCUGCAAAAUAUGCAUGCAAAUGGAAAAAUAUGCUUCAAUUACAAGAGGUGGUGGAGCGUACCUCGAAGAUUGCUGAAGCUAAGAUCCAGAUACACGAGUUUACUCAAAUUUCCAAUCCUUGAAGGAAUAUUUCCACCAAUAGUAUUGAACUCUGCACGCAGCGUCUCUAGCCUUGAUAAGUUGAAGAGAGAAUUAGGGAUGGGACCUGUGAAACUGUUAUUAUAAAGUCUCAAUAUUCGGAGUUUAGAUAAGACACCAAUCCAUGAUGGAAAGCUUCCGCUCAAUUUAUUGUAAGCGAAACUCACGACUCUGAGUCGACGUAAUUGCCCCAAUUCUUUCGGCAGAUGGCCAUGAAAAUUGUUCUCACUAAUGUCAAGAGACACUAGAAAUGAGAGAUUUCCCAAGUGUAGUGGAAUGGUGCCUCCGAGACCCAUAUCUGAAAGAUUCAAGGCAGUGACUCGUUGAUGGCGUGAACCACAAGAGAUACCAACCCAGCUACAUAUUGGAUAAGAUAUAGACCAAUUAUUUGCCAGGGCACUCCGAUAAUCAAGAAUGUGGGCUUUGAAUGCCAGAAGAGCUGAUUGAUCUGUUGUUAAAUCGUUUAAAGUCGUCACAGCUAAGCUAGCAAUGAGAUACUGUAACACUAACACCGACAUAGGAACAAAGAAGAAUGAUAAGCGCAUAUUGGUCGUUUUUAGUAGUAGUUGCAAGGCGAGAUUGAUACAAGUUUUAAGUAAAGGAAAUUAGCAUAUACUUAUAAUGAGACAUAUGAAUUUGAAAAUAAGAGCAGAAAAAAUAUACAGGAGACUUGCAAAUUGUUAUAUUCUGUCAUUGAGCGAGCCGUCCAAGUAAACGCAUUUACACUUGAACCCUAAAUAAAGGCCUUAUGGCACUUUAAUUGCCAUAAGGAAGAAGAUGCUCAACAUUGCCAAAAGUGUUUUUCUUGAAGUCUCGUCUUCCGUAAUGUUUGUAAAAUCGAGGUUUUACCAUCUCUAAUUAAAUAUUUACUCUUGAUUUAGACCACGUAAUCUAAACUUGACGAAAAAUUAUGAUCUUAUGUGAUUUUAUGAAUGUGGUCUUAUCUCUUAUAAGUCGGCAAUGAAUUAAUUAAAGCUUGCUGACAAAUUACAAGCUCAAAAAUAUCUUUUACUUAUUCACAAUCUUAUUUCAUUUUUUUAUAACAUAAUAUUAAAAAUUUGUCUAUUAAAUUAAUUUAAUAAUUUUUUUAAUAAAAAAUCUCAUUGACGACCAAACAACUAAUUUUUUUUUUAUAAAAGCUUUGCUUGUUAAAAUUAUGCUGAAAAAAACUCUACUUAAGUAAGUUCUAUUUUUUUUAUAAAAGCCAUUUUAUUUCUUUAUCUUUUUUAAUUAUUAUUGGAAAAGUAGCGCAGCUUAUCAAAAAAGGAAAGAAAAAAAAAAGUCAAAGUGACGAGUGGCUUGUUUUUUAAUUUCAAAGUCAAUGCAAAGUAAAAGUACCGAAAUAAUCAGUUUUUAAAUCCAAAUAAGUGGCAAUAAAGGGAGGUCUUGUUAGGGGUGUUCGCGGAUCGAAUUUUAUGGAUUGGACAUCAAUCCAUAUUCGAUCCACGAUUUUACGGAUUAUAAAAUUUCAAUCCAAUUCAAUCCACGGAUUUGUAAAAUUCAAUCCAAAUCCAAUCCAUAAAUCUGCGGAUCAGAUGCAAAUUUGACCUAAUCCAUAUCCAAUCUACAAUUUUGCGGAUUGGUUUGUGGACUGAAAAUUUUUAAUUCUGUCAAAUCCACGAACUAACUAAAUAAAAAAAUUUAAUAUAAAAAUAAUUUUACUACGGAUCAAAUUUAAAAUUAAAUAAGAUUUAAAUAAAUAAAUUGCUUAAAUAAAGCUAGCAAAUACAUUUAAAGUUUCAAAAUAUAACACACCAAAAUGAAAAAAAUAUCAUUCGUUUUAGAUCAAGGAAAUUAACUAUUUAGUAAACUAUAUUUGUUUAUUUAAUUAUUUUUUAUUUUUUAUUAUUAUCGGAUAUGAUAUAAUAUAAUGUUAAUGUAACUAUAUUUUAACUUAUUUAUUUACUAGUAAGUACUAAUAACAUAUUUACAAGUUUUAUUUUUAAUUAAAUAAAUACUUUUUAUUUUUUUGCGGAUUCGCGGAUUUUUACCGAUUUACAGAAGUAGAUCCAUAUCCAAUCCACUGAUUGCGGAUUAUCAAAUUUUCAAUUCAAUCCAAUCCACCAAUCCACGGAUCAGACGGAUUGAGCAGAUCGAAUUAGAUUAUGAACACCCUUAGGUUUUGGUGUGCAUUGUUGAAAACUUGGAAGUCUAUAUGACCAUUUAACCAAACUAUAGGGGUAUAACUGUCACAAAUUUUUAAAAAUAAAUUUUACCAAACAUUUAAAUGAUUUUUUUUUCACAAUUGAUUAUUAAAUUCUAAGUGUUAGACUAUUGUAAGAAUACAAAUAAUUGACAUGGACAUAAUAUUAAAUAAAAUUUACUUAUAUAUAUAUAUAUAUAUAUAUAUAUAUAUAUAUAUAUAUAUUAUUGUUUGUAUAUAAAAAUUGCUAACUAAAAAAUAUUUAUAUUUUAUCAAUUUUAUUUCUUUUAUUUUUUUAUCUCAAGAUAAAUAUAAUAAUAACAAUCUCUCUAAAUUUAAUUAUUUUUGCUCUUUAUUGAAUAAGGAUAAUUUUGAGUUUCUGUAAUAUAUGUGAGGAUAUAUAUAAAAUUGUAUUAAAUAUAUAACUAUUCUCAAAAUUAAAUUUUAAAAAACUAGUUCAUUCUCACUUUUCAUUUAAUUAGGCAAAUGGCCACAGAAAUUGUUCUCCCUCAUAUCCAAAUAAACUGAAAACGAGAGAUUUCGUAAGUGUGGAGGGAUGAUGCCUUCGAAACCCAUCACUGAAAGAUUCAAGUUUGUGACUCUAUGGUAUGAGCACCACAACAUAUGCCAAUUCGACUGCAUAUUGAGUAAGACAUGGACCAAUUAUUCAAGAGAUUCAUGAGCCUUCGAAGUGAGAAAUAAAGCAAAUUAUGUGGUGGUCGUGGGUCAAUUGACUACGUUUCGUGAUCUACGUGCGAUUGCAACAGUCGGUUCAUUAAGUGAAAUUAAUGACUCGUCCACUAUAGUAAGAUACUGUCCUCAUUAGGUUGGUGCUGGGUCAAUUUUAUCCAUGAGUCAACUUACAUUAAUUUGAAUUAAUUUAUAAGAGUAUCUCAUUUUCGUUGAUUACGAGUUGUGAUCGAUGACAUGCACGAAAGCAGUCAAUUUACAGGUCAUUCACUAUAUAUAUGGGGUCUAUGGGUGGAUGGAUCUAACGUAAAUUAAGGGUUGAUGAUGACCCUCGACUUCUAACGACGACCAUCGAAGACGACCUUGACUUUACAUGCAAACACACAAUUCGCUCUCAUACAUUAUGUUUUAAAAUUUCUCCAUUUUCCGGGGCCCCGCUGUCGACCGUACACAGUUUAAUUUGUAUAUACAAGACCUCAUUGUUUCUAGCAAGCAUAGAGCCAUAGACCAUAUUAAUUCCAAUUACAUAAAUCUUCAUUUUUAUCAUGAUUUUGGAUCUCGAGCAGUGUGGAUAUAUCCAACCAGAUCCGCCUCACUGGCAUCCCAAUAUAUUUUAGAAUUGAGUAAUGAGUAUCAAUAAAUGUGUAAUUGUAAAUCUACAACGUUUAAUUUUAAUUUGAGGACUCAAAUGAAUUUAUCCAACAAUACCUCGUUAAAUUAAUAUUCCAUAAAUUUUUAACUUUAAUUAAAUAACAAAUUUUGUCCGUCCCAACUUAGGAUUAACGUGGUAAUUAAUAAUUUGAUAAAUUGUUAGAUAAUAAUUUUUUAAAAAAAUCUUAUUUUUUUAUUGGAUCAAACUGAUAUAUAAAUGAAUAAUUAAUUAAUUUUAAAACUAAAUUCAUGUUAUGUCAAUCAAAUGUUAUUGCAAAGAAGACUAGCAGCGACGCUUUGAAAGGUACACCAAAGCCUUUUGCACCUUCUCCUCCGUGACCACCAAUAGAUACUUCCACCAUUUCAACGUCAUGACAUGAUGUAAGUUUCUUUUGUAGAAUUUGCGAAUUGGUAAUCUUUUACACGCGUAUAUUUAUAUCAUUGUAUAGUUAUAGAUUCAAUUACUUUUAUGAUGCAUUUAUUAAUUUGGAAUUGAAGUAGACAAGAAUGGGCUGUAAUGUGAAUGGAGAAUCGAAAUUAGAAUAAGUUAUUUACUUGAACUGUAGAAAUCGAAAUGAGUUGGAUUGUCAUUAAUGUGUUUACUUUGUCUUGGAAUCAGAAUUGAAAUAAGUUAGUUUAUAACAAAUUACUAAAAACUACUUAAUGAACUAUUGUUAUAAUUAUUAUUUUGUAUUUUAAUUAUUAUGAUUAUUUAUUAAAAAUUAUUAUUGUUAUUAUUACUUAUUGUUAAUAGUAUAUUAAUAUAUUAAUAAAUUAUAAUAAUAUAUUAAAUAACUAUAAUAUAUUAAAAAAUAUACUUGUAUUUACAAGAAAUGACUGAUAAAAUUUCUAAAAUCGUCUUCCUCCCUAAAACUCUUAAUGCCACAGCCCUAAAAAUUAAAAAGAUUUGGGAAUUAUAUGUCUUUUUUAAAAUAUUAAAGGGUGUUUAUUUCCUUAAACGGUGGGGACUAAAAGUCCUAUUCCCAAACGAGUAGUGUGCCGGCGUUGGAGGCUAGAAAGACAAUUUGUUACAUUGCUUCAGAAGUGCUUAAUGGAAAUUUUGGUGAGGCAUCACAUAAUUUAAAGGAUCAGGCUACGGUGCAACUGUGGUACCGUACUACAGUUGCAUCCAGCCGUUUUAAUUCACUUAUAUUGGUGAGGUUCACUGGCAUCCAACGGCUGAAUGCAACUAUGGCACGGUACCACAGUUGCACCACAAGUUUCCCCUAAUUUAAAUUACUGGAAUUUGCAUCAAUGGUUUUUAUUGGUUUAUUUACUCGUCAACAAAUUACUGUAACUGCAGAAAACAGUGUAACACAUUGUAUAAUACGUUAAUACGUUAUAUUGGUCAGUGCUCCUACCAAGGAAAUCUUUUUAAGUUUUGUUAGCAGAAUAUUCUUGUAAGGGUGGAGGCAUAAGAGAUUAAUAAUUUAAUAUCUCUUGUUCAUUAGAAGAUUUUUUUUUUUUGGGAAAAAAAAAGAAGAAGAUGGUUUGUUUAAUGUUGAUAAAUUUUGAAGUACAAUUUUAUAGAUGUCGAAUGUGGGCAAAAAGUAAAGAAGCUCAAACACUUUUCUACAUCUAAACUAAUCAUUAGGAUUUAUAUUAACUAAUAAACCCUAAUAAUACGAGCGUUCAUAAAAACUUCAUAUGAACAUUGAACCAGCAUGGCAUCAUAUUGUAAUAAGUUGUACAGCUGUCAAUCUCUUAUUAGUCAGAUAUAUUCUGAGUUAGUUACAUGAAUGUAGUAUAAAUAUCAUACUCUGUACACAUUCUUAGUUAGUUACUUCAGUAGAAUUUUCUCUCCUCUACUCAAUUUUUAAGUUAUCUUUUAUAUUGGGGGCAAAUGAUAUUUUAUUAACGAAAUGAUUUUGCCCUCUUAAUAAGCUCUCAUUUCUCCGCUUUGAUCAACACAGCCUUCUUUUAUUACAUCAAAAUUCUUCCUCUUUCCAUCAAAAUUUCAUGGAUCUGCCCUUACGUAAAAUCAUAUGAGAGUAUAUAAUAAAAUUAAUUAGGUAUGUUUGGAACAUUUUUGGUAUCCUUAAGCUGAUUUUAUUUUUAUUUUUUUAUAGUAUAUAUUGUCAAAAGUAAAUGCUAUAAACACUUUCGGAAAAAAAGAUGAAGAGCACCUUUGGAGUAAUUUUUUCUAUAGGAACUAACAAAACAACUAAAUGAUGUAUGUAUCUCUAAGAUUUAUUAUUAUUAAUUUUUUUUUCUGUAGUUGACAAAGCAUCAUGAUUGUGUUGGAUGAUAAGAUUAAAGGUGGGAAUGGUCCGAAUGGACCAAUUUUUUAGGAUAAAAAAAAAAAUGAUUCAAUCCUGGGCAUGUUUGGCUAUCGAAACUAGUUGAUUAGUCUAAAGUUUAAUUCAAAAGUAAUGGGACUAUUAAUCCUUAGGAAAAUUAUCAUUUGUAUACUCUAUAGAUGCUCUGUUAUAUAAAAAAUUACAACACUUUGAGAGUGUAUCAAUCGUCCACCCUAAGUUGACAAAAUAUAUCUGCCGUCCAUCAAACCGUUACUUGCUGUUUAAAUAGGAUAGCGCCAGAGGGGUAAUUUGGUCUUUUCAUAUGAUACAAGUGAUAAUUCAAGGGUAUACAAGUGAUAAUAAAAGAAUUUAAAGGUAUACAAGUGAUACUUUUCAAGGGUAAAAUCAUCAAUUCGCUAUAAUUCCGUUAACUUUCAAACGACAGCUAACGGUUUAGUGGUCGGCAGAUAACUUUUUUCAAUUUAGGGUGGACGAUUGAUACACCCUCAAAGUGUUAUAGUAUUUUUUAUAAUAGAACAUCUAUAGGGUAUACGAAUGAUAAUAUCCCUAAUCAAUCCUUAAUUCAACUUAGGUUUAAGUAGUAUAUAAAAAAUCUUCUUUAUCACUCUUUUCAUUUUUAUUUAGAUUAAAAUUCAUAUAAAUAAAUAUAAAGAAUUAAUUUCAUAAUUUAUUUAAACUAAAAUUUUAUAUUAUAUUAAAUAUCCAAAUUUUAAUUCAAUAAUUUAUUUAUAUUAGAAUUUUAUGCAAUAUUAAAUCCCAAAACUUUAUUUAAUAAUUUAUUUACAAAAAUAUUAAUAUCAAAUUCAACAAUUAGUAAUAUAAUUUAAAAUAAUUACACUAUUUUAAUAGUUAUUUAGCUAUAUUAAAUUAAAUUUAACAUAUCCUUGUCCGAUACUAUACUAAACAAACGAUAGUACCUUAUAUAGUAUAGUCAAUCUAUUAUAAUAUAAUUCAAUCUAAUCGAACGUGCCAAAUCAGUACAUUUUAAAAAAUAAUUUUAUAACAGCUUUAAAAAAGCAUUUUUUAAGUUACUUUUACAAAAUGUGCUUUCUCCGAAAGCACUCGUGAAAUGCAAAUUCUCACAAAACACGUGGUGUGUUCAAUUGGGCCUCCGCCCAUUAAAACUACAACCAUGAAAGCAAGCAAUGUUCAUUGGGCUUUAUUCUCUCGAGAAAACUUAUACACGUAGCCCACCACCGGCGCCCUAAUUUGUCUCCACCUCUCUAAAUAGAGUUGGACUAUUGGCACCUUUCCAAAAUUCUUCUGAAAUUCCUUUUUCAAUAAUAUUAAGUUUAAUGCUAAAAAUAUCCUUAUUUCCAAAUAAAUACAUUUAAUUUGUGAAUAUUUUAAUUUUCUAUUAUUUUCUCGCUCCUCACAAACAAAUUUUUAUGGGCGAUAAACUUCUUGAUAAAAAUCAAUUAAUUAAAUAAAAUAUCUAUAAGAUUAUAAUGUAAAAAAUUUUAUUAUGAGUCUUAAAAAAAGACAGAUAAAUUUAUCAGAAUGUGUUUUGUUUAUUAUCAAUAGAUUAUUUUAGUAAUUAAAGAAAAAUUUAUAGAGAAUUUGAGAAAAAAAAUUACGUGUGAGUUUGAUAGCAAAGAAAAUAUAAGAGUUUUUUUUUAAGAGAGAAAAUACAAAAGUUUGAAGUGAGAUAAAAUAGAUAUAAGAUAUAUUAGAGUAUUUAUCCUUAAAUUUAAUUGUAACAAAAGAGAGGUUUUAAAAAGAUUUUGGAGGAGUGUCUCCAACUCCUCUAAAUAUUAUUGAUUGAUGCAUAUGUUUCACAGCAUAGAGUGGCUUACAUUGGAGCUUUUCUAAAAAAAUGAAAAUUUCAUUUAAUUAUUUAUUAUUCACGGAUAAGAAAUUAACUUCUUCUUUUUUCUAACGCCACAGUCUGGUGAGCUUGCCUAGUGUGUUUUAGUUGGAUAAAAAUUUUAGCAAAUGCUUCUUGGCAAGGAAGCUUAAAUAGUUUAACCUGAAUUUAACCUCGAAUGAACCCAAAUUAUUAAACCGAACCAAUCCGAAUUGUGAAUCUGAAUUUCAGUUCGAUUCAGUUUGGUUCAGGUUCGUAUUUUCAACUCGAACAAGUUUAAUGCUCCAAUUCGAUCAGGUUGUAACCUAAACCGAAACUCGAAAACCCGAACUGAAACUCAAUUUGGCCACCCCUAAUGAGAACUGAGAAGUACCUGGAUCGUAAAAGAAAGGUUUUGAUGAUAAUUUUGGCUAAAAAUCUGUUUCUUAACUUCUAUUUUUAUUUUUUUAUGCUGUAUUUUAGUUGCUGAAUAGGUUAUAUAUAGAAGUUCAGUUAAUUUUGUUUUGGAUGAAAAAUCAAUGAGUACUUCUGUGAUUAAUAAGUGAAAUUUUGUUUGCAUCAUAUAGUCAGCUAUAAUGCAUUGGAUGGCUUUGACUCAGCAUGGAAGAAAUGCUCUCCGGCAGAUUACUAAAGAGAGCUCUGAUCGCGUGUUGCAUCACCCAUUGCUAUUUUCUUGUCAAGGAGUCAGAUACAGACGAUUGGAAGUGAUUCUAACAACAAUGAGUAAAUUGAUCUUUUGUUUUCCCUUUUCACCAGUUUGGAUCUCUUGACUAAUCAGCCUGUUUGAGUUUUAACUUGUGUAUUAAUGAUUGGUUUUAUAUGUUCAGAAAGUUGACAAGCUUGGUAAAGCCGGUGAAACUGUGAAGGUUGCUCCGGGGUAUUUCCGGAACCACUUGAUGCCCAAAUUGCUUGUUGUUCCAAAUAUCGAGAAGUUGGCUCAUCUCAUUAGAGAGCAGCGCAGGUAUUUGUUUUUCAUGAUUCUUCUCGGUUGAACUUUUUUUGUUUGGGUUGAGAAUGGUUAAUUCUAGUGAUACAGAAAUUUGCUCAUUUUCUUUAGAUACUUUGUUUAGCCAGUUUGUCAAUUAAUUUGACUCAUGGCUUCAAAUUAUUGCUAAAUUCUCAGUUUGGAAAUAUUUGUGAUUUUUGAAGGGGCAUUACAAGUUAUUAAAGUUUGUUGUGCCUGUGACUUAUUUUCAUCAGAUUUGCCAGCCUGAGGAAGAGGAAGAGGAAGAGGAAGAGGAAGAGGUUAGAGUUAUCCGGAAGUCUGAGGACAAUAUGAGUAGAGAAUUUGAGAAGGCAGCUAGGCGCCUAGAGAAUGCUCGACUGGUUUGUGGCCUAUCUUUUAAUUUCUUCAGAUUCGGGACAAAUUGUCUUGGAGUGAACUGAUGUGUUGCCUUUUCCUUUUUUUUUAGCUUGAAUGAUCUAUUUGCUACAGUUAGGAGUGAACGUCGUAAUGAAUUUUAAAUUAUACUGUUUGUUUCGAUUUACUUUUCUAUCUUAGCUCCAUCAAGUGAUUAGUGGAAUGCUGGUCCUGUGAGUAUAAAAUGAAACUCCUUAAGUUAAAUUCCUUAGGCUGUGUUUAUUUUCUGUAGUGGGAGCGAGGAGUGUAAAUUCUUUUCAUUUCAGUAUUUAUUUCAACAAAUUGGCUCCGGAUUGAGAAUCCCACUCAGUAGACCCCACCCAUUUUUGGAGUGAGAUUCCCAUGGGGAGAGGUGGGAGUGAGAUUCCCACUCCCACCUCUCCCUUUUUUUACAUUUUUUUUAAUUUAAUUUAAUUUAACUUAAUUUAAUAUUUAAUAAAAUAAAAUAAAUAAUAUCAUAUUUAUUUGAAUAAUAUUAUUAUAUUUAUUUUAAAAAUAAUAAUACUAUAUUUAUUUAAUAUUAAUAAUUAAUAAUAAUAAAUAGUUUAUUCUAAGAAAAUAUUAAUUUUGUCCUAAAUAAUAUUAUAUUAUUAUUUUAUAUAAUAAUAAAUUUAAUAUAAUUAUAUUAAAUAAAAUAAAAUAAUGUUUCAUUUUAUAUUUACCCUUCUUUUUUACCCUCUUUUUAUUAAAUUUACUAUAAUUAUAUUUAAUAAAUAUUUAAAUAAUAUUAUAUUUAUUUAAAUAAUAUUAAUAUAUUUAACUAAAUAAUAAUUUGGUUUGAUUCUAAGUCUAAAUUACUUAAAAAUAAUAUUAUUAUAUUAAUACAGAAUUAAUAAUAUUACUUUUAUACCAUCUUUAUUUGAAAAUAUAUUAUUAUUAUUAUUAUAUUUAUUUAAAAAUAUUAGUAUUAUAUUUAUUUAAUAUUAAUAAUUAAUACUAAUAAAUAGUUUAUUCUAAGAAAAUAUUAAUUUCAUACUAUGUUAAUAGUAAAAUAUUUCAUUUAUAUUGCCCUUAUCAAUAAUUUUUAAUUUAUAUAAUUAAAAUUAAAAUUAAUAAAAAAAUGUGAUGUUCAUAAUUAAGAAUAUUAAUAAUUAUUAUAAAUUUACAAAUAUAAAUGUUUAUUCAUUAAAUAUAUUUUUUAUUAACUUUGUAAUUAAAAACUAUAAUUCUUUAAAUAAGGAUAAAAUUGUAAUUUGAAACUAUUUACUCCCAAUCCGAGACAAACUAAACACAUAAAUUGAAUUCUGAUCUCCAUUCCAUGCUUUCAUUUUAGUGUAAGUAAACAACAUACUCCCACUCCCAAUCCUAAGAUUCCCACUCCAAUUCAAAAAGUAAACGCUACCUAAAUACAAGUAAUCUUGCUUUCAGAUAUGAAUUAUCUGAUGGAUGUUGUAUUUUCAAGGUAUUGAGGAGAUUCCCCAAUAUUGAAAAAUUGCGUUCCCGUGCAUCAAAAGAUGAUCCCAUAGAAUUGCGUUCACCUGUGACAAAAGAGGAGCUUGUAGUUGAGGUAUGGAUUUUUAUAUUUCUUGGUUGUUUUUAUACUUGUUUCUCAUCAUAAUAGCAAAAGCAGUUUGUUCUGAGUGAUCUGUGUGGUCUCCUAUCAAUGACUGCCGUUUCUAUCAUUUAGUACUAUUGACUAUGUGUGUAUAAAUAUUUUGUUUUUACCAUGUAAUUUCAUAUUCGAUGCAUUUCUAAUACAUUGCAUAGCGUCCAUGAAUGGGAAUGAUAAAAUAAAUUUCAAGCGUGUUUCAAUAGAUGAAAAAACUUGGAACGAUUUAGAAGGAUUUGCUGAUUAAAUAAUUUUCCAAUUUGUUUGCUUGGAGGAAUUGAAUAGUUAACUGAUUAAAGGAUUUCAAGGUGGUUCGGUCCCGCUGGGCAUUGUCAAUAUCAACGGUCAUUAAUUCCUAUUAUCUGAAAUUGAAUUUCCAGUGUGGCAUGGUAACUUUCUGCUAGGGUGUGAUUGUAUAGUAGCCAAUUGUGAGCAACAGAUCCGCAUAGUAAUAUAGAUUGAAAUUUUGCAUCUUAAUCCAUGAAGAUAUAGAUUUUGGCAAUAUUAUACAAGCACUGGGGAUUACCUUAAAUAUUCUGGACUUGUCAUUGAUAGAGUUUCUUUUACCUAGUUAUUGAUAUUUCUUUCAAUUUUCUAUUUUACUCAUACAAUUUAUACAAUUUUAGGUGGCAAGACAACUUUCGUUUUCUAUUGAGCCUGAAAACCUGCAUCUACCAUCACCUCUAUCUGCUUUUCGAGAAUAUGAGGUUCCUAUGCGCUUACCCAAAGCCAUCCCCCUACCGGAAGGAAAGGUCCAAUGGAUUCUCAAUGUUAAAGUCCGCGGCAAAUAAAUAUUUUUUAGUUAAUUUUUUAAUCAAUAAAAAAAGGUAAUUAAAAAUGUAAUUAAUAAAUUACUUAUUAGCAAAUUAAAAAACAAAUAUUAGCAUAAAAUAAUUGAUAUUUCAUUCUCUUACAACAAUCUUACCAAUUAUUAUUUAUAAAUUAAUUAAUGCAAGUUAAUUUAAAGUAAUGUUUAAUAUUCUUGUAACAACCUUACUAAUAAUUUUUUGAUAAAAAAAUUAAUUUAUUAAAUUAAUCCUAGAAGUAAAAUAAUAAUAAUUAAUUUGUAUUUUAUUUUUAAGAUUAAUUUGAUAAAUUUAAUUUUUUUUAACUAAUAUCUCCAAGAAUAUAGUUGUAACGAUAUUAUUACAAAAGGAAAAAAAAUAUAAGAUUAUAAUAUAUUUACCAGUAAGAAUAAUUUAAAAUAUUUUUUAAGAUAUAAAAAUUAAACGGACACUUAAUUAAAAAAAAAAAAAAAAAACUAAAUAAGUAGUUAGCUUUUAACAUUUCAACCUAGUGGUCAUACAAUCAUGGUGCGGCCCGGGAUGGCUGGCCCAGCCCAUCAUGUAAAAAUCCAUGUCACCCUCAUUCUUAAGCUGCUACUCUGCCACUUGCCACGGAGCUCCCCACAUCAUACCGUACCGAUGCCUCUAGAAAGCUAACUUUAAAAAAAUGGUAUUAAUAAGCGUACGCCACGUCACUCCUCACUCUCUUCUUCGUCACUUUCCUCUCACUCAACAUUUUCUCCCCAAACAAAUUCCUUCUUUGAAAAAUCGCAUUUUCUCCUUCACAGCAACCGCUACAAUGUCUUCAACUUCCAAGAAGGUAAUUUUUUUAAAUUUUAUUUUUUGUUUAGUUUCUUUCUGUUGCCUUUUUGUUUCGUUUUUUGAAUUUUCUGUGUCGUUUUUUUUUUCCCAAGGUUUUGGUGCCUGUUGCGAACGGGAGUGAGCCGAUUGAAGCCGUGAUAACGAUCGAUGUUUUGAGAAGGUCUGGAGCUGACGUCACGGUUGCGUCUGUGGAUAAACAGCUUCGUGUCGACGCGUGUCAUGGUGUCAAGAUUGUCGCUGAUGCUCUCGUGUCUGACUGCCGCGACGCUGUUUCUGAUCUUAUAGCUCUGCCCGUAUGUAUUGCAGCUCACCUCAGCUCAUGCUAAUUUAUGUGAUGUUUGUAUAAUUAUAGAUGAUUACUGCUGAUACUGAAUGUUAAAGCUAAAUAAUUCGUUCUUAAGUCAUCUUCAUUUAAUUUUCGAUUGAAAAUGAAAAAAAAAAUAAUUUUAAGCAAAGAAAAUGUUUAUUUUGUUUUAUUUUUAUUUUUAAAUUUUUGGGAUUUCCUUAUUGUGACUGUUGUCAUUCAUUAUAUGGUCCUAGUUAAAUGUUUCAAGUUGUUGUAGUCUGUGAAACUCUUUUCGAUAUUUGUUCUGGCAUGUACAUUUUUCCUUUCAAUUUAUUUUGUUGCUGAUACUUUGAUUAUGAUAUAUCCUUUUUUGUUUCCCUUGUAGGGUGGCAUGCCCGGUGCUACCAAUCUGAAAGAAUCUGAAGUAUUAGAAACCAUUGUGAAGAAGCAGGCUUCAGCUGGGCGUCUUUAUGCUGCUGUCUGUGCUUCACCUGCUGUGGCAUUAGGGUCUUGGGGUCUGUUGAAGGGAUUGAAGGUAAGAAUUAGAUAAGCCUUUUUUUAUGUUUGGUGUUCUUUUGGGAAUUGCAUUGAUAUUUGUGUUAUACAUCAGUUUUGCUCUCACCGAUGAUUGUUAAGUUCUAAUUUAUGGGGUUAUUCAUUUUUUGUAGGCUACUUGUUACCCGUCAUUUAUGGAGCAAUUAGCUCCUGCUUGUGCAGCAACUGUUGAAUCAAGAGUACAGCAGGAUGGUAAAGUUGUUACGAGUCGUGGACCUGGCACUACUAUGGAGUUUGCCAUUGCACUUGUCGAGCAGUUGUAUGGGAAAGAGAGAGCUGAUGAAGUUUCUGGGCCACUGGUAGUAACUUUUAUAGAUAAUGUUGUUUAAAAAAAUUGUGAGUUAUAUAAUUUGUGGAAAUUCAUUCUAAUAGGUUCAUCUAGUAUGUCAAAUUGGAAGGUUCAGAUGCUAAUAUAUUCCAAAAAAUUUGUUCAGGGGAAAAGUAUGACUUUUUGCAUUAGAGAUUCAUUAGAUGAAGUUGUAUACCUGCUGGCCCAUCUUAAUGUGGUGAAAACGAUGUCUGAUGAGACUGAUAUAAUUAUUGGAAUCUUGAUAAAUGCAUUUGUUGAGCUUGAAUGUCUCCACUGAUCACGUUCUUUUUAAUGUAAGUUCUUUCUCUUGGUAUUUGUCUUUGAAUCUUCUCUUCCUCAUGCUUUCGUCUUCACUGUCACCUUGUGCCUAGGUAAUGCGUGCAAAUCAUGGAGAUGAAUACACUAUUGCUGAAUUCAAUCCAAUUCAGUGGACAUUUGACAAUUCUCCCCAAGUAAGAUUUGACUUCUAGUUUCUUGUAGUUGUUUUUCUUCAUCCGAUGUUUUCAGGGAUACCCAUUUGGCAGUAUAUAAAAGUCUGUGAUAUCUUCUAUACAUAUACAUCAUUGGCUUCAGUCAUUUUCGAACAUAUUGGAGGUAGUAGAUGUAUUUUUAUGAUAUCUCUAAUAAAAUCCCAAGUUUGAUCAAUUACAAAAGAAGUAUGAGCGGUGCUGGACCGGGGGGGAAGAAGAAGUGGGGGGUCGGUGUGGUGGGGGUGUGCAGUGCAUGAAUAAAAGGAAAUGAUAGGGGGUGAAAGUUUGUGCUACCGACAUGCUGUAAAAUGGGGACAUAAUAUUUCAAAUUAGAUAUUGUGUGAUCCUUAAUAUUGCUGACUUUUGCUUAAAAUGGAAUUCUUGAUAACUUCAAAUGUUAAAGUUCUUGGUGAAAUUUUGUACUUUCUUUUCUUUCAGAUUCUUGUGCCUAUUGCAAAUGGUUCAGAGGAGAUGGAAGCUGUUAUGAUAAUUGAUAUUCUGCGACGAGCUAAAGCAAAUGUUGUAGUUGCAUCAGUUGAGGAUAAACCAGAAAUUCUGGCUUCUCGUCAAAUUAAAUUAGUGGCAGAUGUGCUCAUUGAUGAGGCGGCUAAACUCUCGUAUGAUUUAAUUGUCUUGCCAGUGAGUUGGGGUGCUUACUGUUGCUUCAUAGUCUUUACCACAUAAUUGACUUACUAACUACAAUUUAUCCAUGCACAUUGCAUAGGGUGGACUUGGUGGCGCUCAAGCAUUUGCGAAGUCAGAGAAAUUGGUGAAUAUGCUAAAGAAGCAAAAGGAAUCAAAUAGACCUUACGGUGCUAUAUGUGCAUCCCCAGCUUUAGUGUUGGAGCCCCAUGGCUUACUCAAGGUACGACCAUUUCUGCUUAAAUUAUUUACUCAGAUUUGGAUCACCUAAUCUGAACUUGAUGAAGGAUUAUGAUGUUGUGUGAUUUUAUGAAUGUGGUCUUAUCUCAUGUAAGUCGGUGAUGAAUUAAUUGAAGUUUGCUGACAAAUUAGAAACUGAAAAACUGCUGCUGCUUCGUUAGUUACAUUACCCAAAGAGUUAAAAUAAACAUCCCAAAUUUUUUGUCCCAAAUUCUGUCCCAAAUGAUAUGGCAUUUAUUGAGUGAUUGUAUUAUCUAACCAACCAAUUGAUGAAUGACACAUCAUUUGAGAUGGUUUUUUGGGAUAAAGAAUUUGGGAUUUUUACCCGCAAAAAUCCCAAGUACUUCCUGCUCCUGCAAUAUCAUUGCUGUGUAUUUGUUUUCCCCUUAGACAUAUUCAAUUGUGGUUCAGGGUAAAAAAGCUACAGCUUUUCCUGUUAUGUGCAACAAGCUGUCAGAUCAGAGUGAAAUCGAAAACAGGGUUGUGGUUGAUGGCAACCUCAUCACCAGUAGAGGGCCAGGAACUUCUAUGGAGUUUGCACUGGCAAUUGUGGAGAAGUUUUUUGGCCGCAACAAGGCACUUGAGCUUGCAAAGAUAAUGCUUUUCACUCGCACCUAACAUUUGUACGGGGACCUGACUACUAUUAAACUAGUGUGUUUAUUUCUGUAUUGCUACUGCUUGUAGAGAGGGGAAAUGGAAACUUGAAUUCAUGUUUGAAUAUGGAUUCACUGUGUGGGUUUGUACAGCAGUUUGAUUUAUAAAUAAAUGAGUUCAAAGAGUUACUUCAAAUAUUCGGAAUAAACCUGAGUUUAGUUCUGUUAUCAAUGGUCGGAGUCCAAUUGCGAUCGACACACUGGGAAUUUUAAUUAUGAACUAAAAAAUUGUUAUGUUAUAUUCCACCUUUCUCAUAAAAUGUUAACUCGAUUUACAGGAUAAGAAGGAAAAGAAAGACGCUAAGAGAGGAGCAGAGACCCAAAAAGAGUUGACCACUUUGUUGGAACAUAAACCUCUAGAAUAUUGAAAUAAAACACAUACCAUAUCUAGUAUUAAGUAUGUAUAUGCAAGAAGAUACAAAUUUGAAGAUCAGAUUUCUCAUUUCAAUUUAUGUUCUGCUUAGAGCAAUGGCUCUUAUUCCACAAGCACAAACAGGAAAGAGUACGCACGAAGUUAAGAAACACACAUUGCAAAAGUUGCAUUAACUACUUGCAGCAGCAUCAUCCAAGAACUUGACUUUAAUCUUCUUGAGCUUCGCUGCGGCAUCUGUCAUAUGCAUUCUCUUGUCAGGUGACUCUAUACAACAAUCCAAAGCCAAAUCCAUGAUGCUUAAUAAACAAUCCAUUUUGGCAGAAAAAGCUUGCUCUUCUCGCACCAAAUUUGCGUCAACAACUUCAGUCAAUCCGUGAGGUAAAGACUCCUUUACCCAUCUCCUUAAACUCAUUUCUCCUGCGAACAUUUCAUCGGUGGGCCUCUUUCUCGUGAAGGUUUCCAUCAAUAAAACACCAUAGCUGUAGACAUCACAUUUAGCUGAAACAAUUCCUUCUGAUCCAUACUCUGCAUUUUUUAAUUUUAAUUAUGAAACAAAUGAUAAAACAAAUAAUUUUUUGAUAAUUAAGGUAACCCAAACUUUGCUCGUGCUUGAAAAAAGAGUAAAAAUUUUAAUUACAAUUGAAACUUUACCUGGUGCCAUAUAACCAAUUGUAGCCAUUGUCAUGGUUUGUGUCACAGAAUCUUCUCCUUCACCUAAGAGUUUGGAAAUGCCGAAGUCGCUCACAUGUGCCACCAUAUUUUCAUCCAAGAGAAUGUUGGUGGGCUUCAAAUCACAAUGAAUUAUAGGUGCCGACGAAUGACCAUGAUGGAGAUAUUCAAGGGCCGACCCCACAUCUAUCAUUAUGUUCAACCUCUCUAGGAUGUCUAAGAAAUAGUUGUGAGAAUAUAACCACUUCUCGAGACUACCAUUUGGCAUGAACUCAAGUACCAAUGCUUUAAAAUCUUGAUUAGAACAACUGCUAAGGAUCUUUAUGAGAUUUCGAUGACGAACAUUCAGUAAAACUUCACAUUCAGAAUCAAAACUCCUAAAUGCUCUCUCUAGUUGCAGAUUGAAAACCUUUAUCGCAACAUCAGUCCCGUCGGAAAUGGUUCCUUUAUAAACUGAUCCAAAGCUACCUGUACCAAGCAAGUUACAUUCAUUAAAUUCAUCAGUUGCUCGUUGAAUGUCUAGGUAGGAUGUUCUUCUCCAUGUUGCAAGAGGUAGGAAAUCUUCGUGAUCUGAUUUUUUUGUACUCCUCUUUCGGCAUCUUAUGUACAUAAUGAUGAUAAUCACUAUAAGUACAGAGGAUACUAUCGGAGGCAAAAUAUAUUUAAGGACAAUUAGAGCAACGUUUUUGGUGCUUUUGCUGUCACCUUGUUUGCAAGGUGGGACUCGGAAUUUAGGUGGACCACAGAGUGCAUAAUUUCCGAAAAAUGAUUCAGCUGACAAGUUUUUAAAAGACCCCUUAACAGGAAUUUCCCCUUCUAGCCUAUUAUGAGACACAUUAAAUUGUUUGAGAUGUGAAAGUGUCUCCAAUGACUUAGGAAUUUUUCCAGAGAGAUUGUUGCCAGAGAGAUCUAAGGAUUCUAAGCUUAUCAAACUACCAACUGAUUCAGGAAUAGGUCCUUGAAAUUGAUUACUAGCCAAUGAUAGAGUUUCUAUAUCUUUGAGGGCACCGAUGGUUGAUGGAAUAUCACCUGAUAAUUGAUUCCUUGAUAAAUCUAAAACUCUCAAGACCUUUAACUUUUGUACAUUGGAAGGGAGAGAAUCAUUUAACGAAUUUGACGACAAGUUUAUCUCUAAGAUGUACUCAAGGCUCCACAAGGAUGACGGUAUACUAGAAGUGAGCUUGUUGGAGCCUAAGUGGAGUUCUCUUAGAGAUGUCAGACUCGCCAAGCAUGGUGGUAUAUGUCCAGAGAGCUUAUUUCCAUUUAACAUUAUUCCGUACAUCAACUCCAAGUGGCAAAGAUCAUAGGGAAUGGAUCCUUCCAAAUUAUUUUCUUCAAGAGAUAAACCUUGUAGCCGCUUAAGUCUUCCCAUCGUUGGUGAAAUAGUUCCAUUCAAGUCAUUGAAGCCGAGGCUUAAGAGGAUCAGGCCACGCAACUUACCAAUUUCUUUAGGAAUGCUGCCCCCGAGUUUGCAGUUGGAUGCAUAAAAUUGUCGAAGAGAAGCAGAGAAAUUUCCAAUUACUGGUGGAAGGAUGCCACCCAAUGGAUUAUAAGCUAAGGCUAAAACUGUUAAAUUUCUGCAAUUAGUCAGAGAAGAGAGAAAACUCCACUGAUCUGCUGAAGAUGAUUCUGUCGUCAAGUUAUUAAAUGCUAAGCCAAGCACGCCGAGGUGUCUCAAGUUGCCAAAUGUAUUUGGAAUAUGGCCUGAGAAUGAGUUAAAGCUCAAUUCUAGGCCAAUGAGUUUAGAAGCGUUUGUGAUGGAGUUGGGAAUUUUUCCGGUAAGGUUAUUGGCCGCCAAGGUUAAAUACUCUAUGCUCGGAAGCGAGUGGCCAAUCGUUGAUGGUAAGUGGCCUGAAAGUUGAUUGCUAAUUAGAUUAAGGACUGUUAGGGUUGAAAUGUUGAAGAUUGUGGGUGGAAUGGGGCCACUUAAAUUAUUCGCACUAAGAACAAGGGUAUCCAAAUUUUGUAGAUUGCCAAUCUCAGUUGGAAUUUGACCUGUCAUAAAGAUAAACGCCAAAUUGAUGAGUUAUUGAGCUUUUUACUUAACAUAAAUUUUAAUUUCAUAACGCAUGAAAAUCAAAUUUGCCCACAAAAUGUGUGUUAUUAGUUUUAUAAUUUUUUUUUGGGUUUUUUUUGGGGGGGGGGGGGGGGAGAUUGAUAUUGCUACCUCAUAAUUUUUGUAAAACCCCACCCGCUUUCAGAGAAUUAUUGGAACAAGAUUCUUAAAAAAAUUCAAAUAAAGAAGAAGUUUGGAGAAAUAAUCAAUUAAAUCCAUCUUAAUAUACUUUUUGAAACUUAUAUUCUUUUAUCAUAUAUAAUAACUAAGGUUGCUUUAACAUAAAUUUAAUAUAACUAGUCUACUCUCAUAAGGUAGAAUUACUAAAAUACCCACAAAUUUACUUCAACUUCAACUAAACUAACAAAAUGUAUUUGUUGACAUGUGGGGAACUAAAAAUUAUUGAAUUUUAUUUUAGAAAUAUUGUAUUACAAAACAUAAAACAAAAUGCCGAAACUAUAUAUUAGAUACAAUAGUACAUGUUUUUCGGGGUAAUUUGGUCAUUUUAUAUUAUAAGAGUAAAAUAGUCAAAUUAAACUUAUUUUAAAGCAACCGUAAACGGUCAAAGAUUGUUAAAAGCCCUAAGUCAUAAAAGAAAAACAUUAUAAAAAUAAUUUAUUAAUUGUUCAGACUUAAUUUAUAAUUUUAUAACAUAAUGUGAACUUAUUAUAACUAUCUUUUCAAAAUGAGGUGGGUUUGCAAGAAUAAUGAGUGGAAAUAUCCCCACCCUAUAAAAUAAAAAGAAUUUUGCAGCUAUGCAAAUGCAAAUAUGUAGAACGUACCUUGUAGGUUGUUAUAACCUAGAUUCAGAAUGAAAAGGCUGCUAAAAUUUCCUAUCCCUGAAGGAAUAUUUCCAUCAAUAACGUUGUAGAUUGCGUCGAACACCUCCAGCUUCGAUAAAUUGAGGAGAGAAUUUGGGAUUGGACCCGUGAAACUGUUAUUAUAAAGCCUCAACGUUUGUAAUUUGGAUAAGACACCAAUCCAUGUUGGAAUGCUUCCACUCAAUUUAUUGAAACCGAAUCUAAUGAAUCUGAGUCGGCGUAAUUGCCCCAAUUCAUUAGGCAGAUGGCCAUGAAAAUUAUUAUGAGCAACAUCAAGAGAUACUAAGAACGUGAGAUUUCCCAAGUGUAGUGGAAUGGUGCCUCCGAGACCCAUAUCUGAAAGAUUCAAGGCAGUGACUCUUUGAUGGCGUGAACCACAAGAGAUACCAACCCAGCUACAUAUUGGAUAAGAUAUAGACCAAUUAUUUGUCAGAUCACUUCGAUAAUCAACGACACGGGCUUUGAAUGCAAGAAGAGCCGAUUGAUCUGUUGUUAAGUUGCUCAAAGUCGUCAUAGCUAAGCUAGCUAUGGAAUAUUGUACCAACAACAUAGGAACAAAGAAGAAUGAUAAGCACAUAUUGGUCGUUUUUUUUUAUAGAUGCAGCAAUCUAAUUGCUAGGUGAAGUUGAUACAAGUUUUAAGUGAAGGAAACUAGCAUAUACUUAUACAAGAGACGUAUGAAUUUGAAAACAAGAAAAGAAAAAAAUGUACAGGAGAGUGGAGACAUGCAAAUUGGUAUAUUUCAUCAUUGAGCGAGUCGUCCAAGUAAACUCAUACAGACCUGUAAAUUGUUAUAGGCCGCGGUACUUGAACCGUGAAUAAAGGGCUUAUGGCACUUGACUUACCAAAAAGAAGAAGAUGCUCAACAUUGGCAAGGCCUAUGCAUUCUGUCCAUUUGUUCACGUUUUGCCAAGGCUCAGGGCAACCACAAUAUGUUCUUUUUCUUCCCUCUUAAAACAAAAAACAAAAAAAAAAGACGACAUUUACAUUUGGGCUAAUAAUUAUAACUAAACAAUUAAUAAUACUGAGGGUCAGUGGUAAUGUAGCUUUAAAAUAAUUGUUAUUAGUUGUGUCUUAAAAAUAAAGAAAAAAAAUAACUAUACCCAUAUAAUUAAUAAAAUAAUCAUGUAAAUUCCUAAGCUUUUAACAAUAUACACCAAGACCCCCUACCGUUACUUUUUACCAUUUAUUUGGAUGUCACAUGCUUUUUUUUUUUAAUUUUCACAGUGGAUAUCAAAUGCUAAAUUUACUGUUAUUCCCAUAUCAUGUCAUCACUUGCUUCUACACACAUUGAUUGUUUUUCCAAAGUUUCAAAUUGAAUUAAAAACAUUCUAAUUAACCUAAAAAAAACUCAUCCAACCAGAUAUAAAUCAUCUAAUUAACCUAAAGAUAGCUACACCCCCAUAUUAAUUCCAAUUAAAUAAAAUUCAUUUUUGUCAUGAUUUUGGAUCUCGAGCAGGGUGGAUAUAUCCAACUAGAUCCGCCCCAUUGGCAUUCCAGUAUAUUCUGUAAUUGGAAGAGUAUGAAUGACUUAAUUUGUAAUUUUAAAUUUGUAACGUUCAAUUCUAAUUUGAGGAUUCAAAUGAAUUUAUGCGAAUCUAAAAGGGGACUGAAGAUUGGCAUGCAUACAUGCAUACAUAUACAUAUAUAUAUAAAUAGAGAGAGAGAGAGAGAGAGAGAGAGAGAGAGGUAAUAUAACAUUCUUCUUGAUGAAGAUUUUUGUGCCAUACGAAUUAAAGAGAGUAUUGUGUCGAUGUUCGAGGCUAGAGCGACAAUUGGUUACAUUGCUUCAGAGGUGUUUAGUAGAAACUUUGGUGAGGCAUCACAUAAUUUAAAUUACUAGAUUUAGCGAGAUAUAUAUAUUUUCCACAUUGGAUUUACAAGCAUUUCGAGCAGUAUAAUGAAUUAAAAUUACUCGGAAUUGUAAACAGCGAGGAAAGUGAAAUUGCUAAGAAGAUGAAUAUUUUGUUGUUUUGUGGUGUACACGGACUCGUCCAUCGGAUAGGUCGCCCAUGAACAGAGGGAUAGAAAUGUUAUUGCCAAGAAGCAGACUGACUAGCAGUGACGCUUUGAAAAGUCCACCGGACAUCGUCUCCUCCAAGACCACCAAUAGAUUCUUCCACCAUUUCAACGUCGUGACGUGGGGAUCGGAAUUGAAUUAUAGGAUGCUUGUAAGUUUCCUUUGUGGAACUUGUGAAUUUGUGAUGGCAAAAGUCAAUGAUGCAUGUAACUAGCUAGCCCGUGUAGACUCCGUUUUACACUUUUUCAAAACCCAAAAGCACGCUAAAUCUUAAUCUUAAAAGAAUUUUUGAUUCAGUGCUGAAUUUUGGGCUUAUCUUUAAGUAAUCUUUUACCACGCAUGCAUUUUUGUCAUUGUGCAGUCAUCGAUUGCUUCUAAAGAUCGUAAUCCUUAAGAAAAAAUUACUUCUCUUGAAAGUGAAAGCAGGGCAGCUAUUGGCGUAUUGCAUUGCAGCUGCUAUGUGUAGUAGUCAAUUCUUGGAAACAACUAGUUUUCUUAAAUUGUAAACGGUCCCCUUUAUGACUGGGAGAUUUUGAACAAAAUUAAUAUGACGAAUUCUUUGCAGGUGUUGUUCCUUGAAGUCUCAUCUUUCACAAUGUUUCUGAAAUAAAGAUAUUACCAUCUCUGAUUUAAUAUUUAUUCUUGAUUUGUACCACCUAAUCUGAACUUGAUGAAAGAAUAAAGAUUAUGAUCUUGCCUGAUUUUAUUAAUGUGGUCUUAUCUCACGUAAGUCAGUAAUGAAUUAAGGAAAAUUAUCAUUCGUAUACCCUAUAAUUGCUCUGUUAUAAAAAAUACUACAACACUUUGAGGGUGUAUCAAUUGUCCACCCUAAGUUAACAAAAUGUAUCUGUCAUCCACCAAACCGUUAUUUGCCGUUUAAAUAGAAUGACACCAGAGGGGUAAUUUUAUCUUUUCAUAUGAUACAAGUGAUAAUUUAAGGGUAUACAAGUGAUAAUAAAAGAAUUUAAAGGUAUACAAGUGAUAAUUUUAUUUACUUUAAUUUAAGUUUCAAGGGUAAAAUCGUCAAUUCACUAUAAUUCCGUUAACUUUCAAACGGUAGCUAACGGUUUGGUGGUCGGCAGAUAGCUUUUGUUAAUUUAAGGUGGACGAUUGAUAUACUCUCAAAGUGUUGUAGUAUUUUUGAUAAUAGAGCAACUAUAGGAUAUAUGAUUGAUAAUUUCCCAUGAAUUAAUUAAAGUUUACUGUCAAAUUACAAACACAAAAACUGCUGCUGCUUCAUUAUUCACAAUACCUAAAGUCAGUGCAGAACUUAAUAAGUUUUCCAAAAGUUUUACGCUUUCUUUCCCCCAAAUCCCAAGUACUUACUAGAUAUGUCAUGUUUAUACCCAAAGUCAGUGCAGAACUUACUCGAUAUGUCAUGUUUACACAAGAGUUUGUUUAUAAAUAAAUGAGUUGACAAAUAUUUGCCAAAAAAAACGGUGAGUGAUGUCUAGUUCUAUUUUCACAGUUCAGAGUCCAAUUUUGAUUACUGGAAAUUUUAAUUAUGAAGUUGAACUAAGAAUUUGUUAUAAUAUCUUCAACCUUCCUAUACAGUCAUCUGGAAUAAUAAUAUAUCAAAAACAGUAAUAACUCGAUUUACAGGGUGAGAAAGAAAAGAAAGACGCUACGAGGGAAGCAGAGAUUCAAAGACUUCGCCACUUUGUUGGAGGAACAAUUUCAUAAAUCUCCAGAAUAUUGACAUAAAACACAUAACAUACAUAUCUAGCAUUAAGUAUAUUUAUGUAUGUCCAAAGAUAAAAAUUUGAAGAUUAAAUUUAUCAUUUCAAUUUAUGUUCUGCCCAAAGCAAUGGCUUUUAUUCCACAAGCACAAACAAGAAAGAGUACGCACAAAGUUAACAAACACACAUAGCAAACGUGACAUCAACCACUUGCAGCAGCAUCAUCCAGAAACUUCACUCUAAUCUUCUUGAGCUUUUCAGCGGCGUCUUUCGUAGAUGCCCCCUGUUCUGGUGAUUCCAUGCAACAAUCCAAUGCCGAAUGCAUGAUGCUUAAUAAACAAUUCAUUUUAGGAGAAAAAACUUGCUCUUCUCUCACCAAGUUUGCAUCGACAACAUCACUCAAGGCACGAGGUAAUGACUCCCUUACCCAGUCUCUUAAACUUAUUUCUCCUGUAAACAUUUCAUUUGUGGGAUUCUUUCUGGUGAAAGUUUCCAUCAAUAAAACACCAUAACAAUAGACAUCACCUUUGGCCGAAAUCAUUCCUUCUAAUCCUUACUCUGCAUUUUUUUGGUUUCGAUAGAUCAAAUGGAUGUGACAUCAUAAAACAAAUGAUAAACAAAUAGUCUUUUGACAGUCAAGAUGGCCCAAACUUUGACUGUGCUUCGAAAAGAGCGAAAAUUUGAAAUUAUAAUUGAAACCUUACCUGGUGCCAUAUAACCAGUUGUAGCCACUGUCAUGAUUUGGGUCACAGAAUUUUCUUCAUCACCUAAGAGUUCGGAAAUGCCGAACUCACAUGUGCCACCAUAUUUUCAUCCAAGAGAAUGUUGCUAGGCUUCAAAUCACAAUGAAUUACAGGUGCUGAUGAAUGAUCGUGAUGGAGAUAUUCAAGUGCCAGCCGCACAUCUAUCAUUAUAUUCAACCUCUCUAGGAUAUCUAGGAAAUAGUUGUGUGAACACAACCAUUUCUCAAGACUACCAUUGAGCAUGAACUCAAGCACCAGUACUUUAGAAUCUGGAUUGCAACAGCUGCUAGUGAUCUUUGUGAGAUCUUGAUGACGAACAUUCCACAAUACUUCACAUUCAGAAUCAAAACUCCUAAAGGCUCUCUCUAGCUGCAGAUUGAAAACCUUUAUUACAAUAAUAGUCACAUCAUAAAGUGUGCCUUUAUAAACAGAUCCGAAGCUCUCCAUACCUAGCAGGAUACAUUCACUAAAUCCAUCAGCUGCUCGUUGAAUAUCAUGAUAGGAUAGUCUUCUCCAUGUUGUCGAAGAGAACAAAUCUUCUUUAUCUGGAGUUCUUGUUUUCCUAUUUUGAAAUAUUAUGAAGAAUCAUAACAAUUGUUAUUAGUGCAUUGGAUAUAAUCGAAGGCAAAGUAUAUUUCAGGACAAGCAGAGUAGCAUUCUUGGAUCCUUUGCUAUUAUCUUCUUUGCAAGGUGGGACUUGAAGGCCUGGUGGACCACAUAGUGCAUAAUUCUCAAAAAACGAUUGAGCUGAAAUGUUUUUAAAAGGUCCUUUGAUAGGAAUUCCCCCUUCUAGCCUAUUGUGAGACACAUUAAGUUGUUUGAGAUAUGAGAGUGCCUCCAUUGACUUUGGAAUUUCUCCAGAGAGAUUGUUGCUAGGGAGAUCCAAAGAUUCCAACCUUAUCAAACUACCAAAUGAUUUAGGGACCAGACCAUAAAAUUGGUUUCUAGCCAAGGACAAAGUUGCUAGAUCUUUGAGGCCACCAAUACUUACUGGUAUAUCACCUGAUAAUUGAUUUCUUGAUAAAUCAACUCUAUUAAGACCUUUAAGUUUUGUACAUCUGAAGAUAGAUGACCACUUAGAGAAUUUGUUGACAAGUUUACAUACAAGAUGUACUCAAGAUUCCACAAGGAUGAUGGGAUACUAGAAGUGAGCGUGUUGCAGCUUACAAAGAGUGUUUUUAAGGAAUUGAAUAUCUGAAAUCUUGUAUGUAAAUAUUAACACUUAGAGAAUUUGUUGACAAGUUUUUAAGGAUUUACUGAUUAAAUAAUUUUCCAAUUUGUUUGCCUGGAGGAAUUGAAUAGUUAACUGAUUAAAGGAUUUCAAGGUGGUUAGGUCCAGCCGAGCAUUGUAAAUAUUAACGGUCAUUAUGAAUGUGUAAUUCCUAUAUGUGAAAUUGAAUUUCCAUGGUAAAUUUCUGCUAGGGUGUGAUUGUAUGGUAGCCAAUUGUGAGCAACAGAUCCACAUAGUAAUAUAGACUGAAAUUUUGCGUCUUAAGCCAUGAAGAUAUAGAUUUUGGCAAAUAUUAUACAAGCAUUGUUUGCAACACCACAGCUAAUUUGCAGUAGGAUGAAACACUCAGAAUUUUGCCUUUUUCAUGUAUAAAAUUUUAUUUUUUUAAUUGUGAUAUUACAGUUUUGCCCAUCAAGCAUUAUGAAGCUUAAUAUUUGGAUAAAUGUUAGGUUUAAUCUAUAAAUUUUAACUUCAGUGUUUAUUUAGUUUUUAUAUUUUGUAAAAUAUCUCAAGGCAGCCCUAUUAUCAAAUAUUGGCUUGAUCCGUAUAUAUUAACUUCAGUGCUUUAUUUAGGUUUUAUAUUUUGAAAAAUACUUUAAGGCAGUUCUAUUAUCAAAUAUGUUAUGCUCUUGCUUUUAUUUUUUCUUUGUUUUUAUAAUAAUACUCUGAUAACAAUAUUUUUUUACAUUAAUUUUUUAAUCAAUAAAAAGGUAACUAGCAAAUUAACUGAUAAAUUAAUUUGUUAAUUUUUUUAAUCAAUAAAAAAUUUAAUUAAUAAAUUACUUGGUAGCAAAUUAAAAAAUAAAUAUUAGCAUAAAACAAUUGAUAUUUUUCAUUCUCUUACAACAAUCUUACUAAUAAUUUUUUUAUAAAAAAUUAAUUUAUUAAAUUAAUCCUUAAAAGUAAAAUAAUAAUAAUUAAUUUGUAUCUUAGUUUUAAAGUUAAUUUGAUAAAUUCAAUUUUUUAAUUAAUAUCUCCAAAAAUAUAGUUGCAACGAUAUUAUUGCAAAAGUAAAAAAAAAAAUAUAUAUAGAAUUUUAAUAUAACUGCCAGUAAAAAUAACUUGAAAUAUUUUUUAAGAUAUAAAAAUUAAACCAACACUUAAUUAAAAAUAUAAAGAAUUAAAUAAACAUUUAUCUUCUAACAUUUCAACCUACUGGCUAAUGGUCAUACAAUCGUGGUGUGGUCCGGGAUGCCCGGCCCAGCCCAUCAUGCAAAAAGCCAUGUCACCCAUAUUCUUAGGCUGCUACUGCAUUAAAAAAAUGAUAUUAAUAAGCGUACGCCACGUCACUCCUCACUCUCUUCUUCGUCACUUUCCUCUCACUCAACAUUUUCUCCCCAAACAAAUUCCUUCUUUGAAAAAUCGCAUUUUCUCCUUCACAGCAACAGCUACAAUGUCUUCAACUUCCAAAAAGGUGAUUUUUUUUUAAUUUUAUUUUUUGUUUAGUUUCUUUCUGUUGCCUUUUUGUUUCGUUUUUUGAAUUUUCUGUGUCGUUUUUUUCCCCCAAGGUUUUGGUGCCUGUUGCGAACGGGAGUGAGCCGAUUGAGUCCGUGAUAACGAUCGAUGUUUUGAGAAGGUCUGGAGCUGACGUCACGGUUGCGUCUGUGGAGAAACAGCUCCGUGUCGACGCGUGUCAUGGUGUCAAGAUUGUCGCUGAUGCUCUCGUGUCUGACUGCCGCGACGCCGUUUUUGAUCUUAUAGCUCUUCCCGUAUGUAUUGCAGCUCUCCUCAGCUCGUGCUAAUUUAUGUGAUGUUUGUAUAAUUAUAGAUGAUUACUGCUGAUACUGAAUGUUAAGCUAAAUAAUUCGUUCUUAAGUCAUCUUCAUUUAAUUUUCGAUUGAAAAUGAAAAAAAUAAUAAUUUUAAGCAAAGAAAAAUAUAGAAAAUGUUUAUUUUGUUUAAUUUUCAAUUUUUAAUUUUCAGGGAUUUCAUUAUUGUGACUGUUAUCAUUCAUUAUAUGGUCAUAGUUAAAUGUUUCAAAUUGUUGUAGUCAGUGAAAUUCUUUUCGAUAUUUAUUCUGGCAUGUAUAUUUUUCCUUUUCAAUUUCUUUUGUUGCUGAUUCUUUGAUUAUGUUAUAUCCUUUUUUGUUUCCCUUGUAGGGUGGCAUGCCCGGUGCUACCAAUCUGAAGGAAUCUGAAGUAUUAGAAAGCAUUGUGAAGAAGCAGGCCUCAGCUGGGCGUCUUUAUGCUGCUGUCUGUGCUUCACCUGCUGUGGCAUUAGGGUCUUGGGGUCUGUUGAAGGGAUUGAAGGUAAGAGUUAGAUAAGCCUUUUUGAUGUUUUGUGGUCUUUUGGGAAUUGCACUGAUAUUUUUGUUAUGGUUCAGUUUUCUUCUCGCUGAUGAUUGUUAAGUUCUAAUUUAUGUAGUUGUUCAUUUUUCCUAGGCUACUUGUUAUCCGUCAUUUAUGGAGCAACUAGCUCCUGCUUGUGCAGCAUGUUGAAUCAAGAGUACAGCAGGAUGGUAAAGUUGUUACGAGUCGUGGACCGGGCACUACCAUGGAGUUUGCCGUUGCACUUGUUGAGCAGUUGUAUGGGAAAGAGAAAGCUGAUGAAGUUUCUGGGCCACUGGUAUUAGCUUUUAUAGAUAACGUUGUUUAAAAAAAUUAUGAGUUAUAUAAUUUGUGGAAGCUUCAGAUGCUAAUGUAUUCAAGAAAAUAAGUUCAGGGGAAGAGUAUGACUUUUUGCAUUAGUGAUUCAUUAGAUGAAAUUGUAUACCUGCUGGUCCAUCAUAAGGUGGUGAAAACAAUGUUUGAUUUAAUUAAUGAAAUCCUGAAAUAUGCAUUUGUUGAGCUUCAAUGUCUCCACUGAUAAAAUUCUUUUUAAUGUAAGUUCUUUCUCUUGGUAUUGUAUUUGAAUUUUCUGUUCCUCAUGCUUUCGUCUUUACUGUCACCUUGUGCCUAGGUAAUGCGUGCAAAUCAUGGAGAUGAAUACACUAUUGCUGAGUUCAAUCCAAUUCAGUGGACAUUUGACAAUUCUCCUCAGGUGAGAUUGGACUGUUAGUUUCUUGUAUUUGUUUUUCUUCUUCCAUGUUUUGAGGGAUACCCAUUUGGCAGUAAAUAAAAAUCUGUGAUAUCUUCUAUACAUGUACAUAUACAUCAUUGACUUCACUCAUUUGUGAACAUAUUGGAGGUAGUAGAUUUAUUGUUAUGAUAUGUCUAAUAAAAUCCAAAGUUCGAUGCAACUACAAAAGAAGUAUGAGCAGUGCUCGACCAGAGAGGAAAAAGGUGGUUUUUUUCUUUUUUUUUUUUGGGGGGGGGGGGGGGGUUGGUUGGGUGGCAAAGGGAAUGAUAAGUUCAGGGUAUCAACAAGCUGUAAAAUGGCUAUCGAAAAACUGAUAUUUCACAUUAGAGAAUGUGAGGACCUGAAGAUUGCUGACUUGUGGUCAAAAUGGAAUUCUUGAUAACUUUAAAUGUUAAAAAUUCUUGGUGAAAAUUUUGUACUUUUUUUUCUUUCAGAUUCUUGUGCCUAUUGCGAAUGGUUCAGAGGAGAUGGAAGCUGUUAUAAUAAUUGAUAUUCUGCGACGAGCUAAAGCAAAUGUUGUGGUUGCGUCAGUUGAGGAUAAACUAGAAAUUCUGGCUUCUCGUCAAGUUAAAUUAGUGGCAGAUAUGCUUAUUGAUGAGGCAGCUAAACUUUCGUAUGAUUUGAUUGUCUUGCCAGUAAGUGGGGUUGCUAACUCUUGCCUCAUAGUCUUUACCAAAUUAUUGACUUACUAGCUACAAUUUAUCUAUGCACAGGGUGGACUUGGUGGUGCUCAAGCAUUUGCGAAGUCAGAAAAAUUGGUAAAUAUGCUAAAGAAGCAAAAGGAAUCAAAUAGACCUUACGGUGCUAUAUGUGCAUCCCCAGCACUAGUGUUGGAGCCCCAUGGCUUACUCAAGGUAUGACCAUUUCUGCUUAAAUAUUUAUUCUUGAUUUGAAUCACCUAAUCUGAACUUGAUAAAACAUUGUGAUCUUGUGUGAUUUUAUGAACGUGGUCUUAUCUCAUGUAAGUCUGUAAUGAAUUUAUUGAAGUUUGCUGACAAAUUACAAACUCAAAAACUGCUGCUGCUUCAUUAGUUACAGUACCCAAGGAGUUAUGAUAGACAUCCCAAACUUUUUACCCCAAAUUCCCUCUCAAAUGACAUGGUAGUUAUUAAGUGGUUGGUAAUUUUUUAUAAGAUAUAAGUGAAUUAAUUAAUUAUAUUAUUUAAUCAACCAAUUGAUGAAUGUCACGCCAUUUGAGAUGAAUUUUUGGGAUGUGUAGCAAAACUUUAUGCUGAUUUGUUUUGGCUACAUUCAUGUAAAACAUUUUUCCCCAAAUCCCAAGAACUUCCCGCAAUAUCAUUCCUUUGUAUUUGUUUUCCCCUUUAGACAUGUUUAACUUUGGUUCAGGGUAAAAAGGCUACGGCUUUUCCUGCCAUGUGCAACAAGCUAUCAGAUCAAAGUGAAAUCGAAAACAGGGUUGUGGUUGAUGGCAACCUUAUCACCAGCAGAGGGCCAGGAACUUCCAUGGAGUUUGCACUGGCAAUUGUGGAGAAGUUUUUUGGCCGCAACAAAGCACUUGAGCUUGCAAAGAUAUUGCUUUUCACCCGCACCUAAAAUUUGUACCAGGACCCGACUAAUAUUAAACUAGAGUGUUUAUUUCUGUAUUACUACUGCUUGUAGAGAGGCGAAAUGGAAACUUGAAUUCAUGUUUGAAUAGGGAUUCACUGUGCGGGUUUGUACAAGAGCUUGUUUAUAAAUAAAUGAGUUCAUAAAGAGUCAUUUUAAAUAUUUGGAAUAAACGUGAGUUGCUGUUUAGUUCUGUUUUCAAUGUUCACCGUUCAAUUGUGAUCCAGAGCAAUAUAACUACACUCACUGGGAAUUUUAAUUAUGAACCAAGAACGAAGUUGAACCGAGAAUUUGAUACUUUAUAUAUUCCAGUUACCAUAUUUAAGAAAGAGUAUUGAAAAGAAAGACGCUAAGAGAGAAUAUUGAAGUUAAACAGAUACCAUAUCUAGUAUUAAGUCUGUAUGCCAAAGUUACAAAUUCGAAGAUCAGAUUCCUCAUUUCAAUUUAUGUUCUGCUCAAAACAAUGGCUCUUAUUCCACAAGCACAAACAAGAAAGAGUACGAACAAAGUUAACAGAGACACGCAGUGAAAAUUACGCUAAUUGGUUGCAGCAGCAUCAUCCAGGAACUUCACUUUAAUCCUCUUGAGCUUUGCUGCAGCGUCUGUCAUAUUUAUCCUCAUGUCGGGUGACUCCAUACAACAAUCCAAUGCCAAAUCCAUUAUGCUUAAUAUACAAUCCAUUUUGGCAGAAAAAGCUUGCUCUUCUCGCACCAAAUUUGCGUCAACAACUUCACUCAAUCCGUGAGGUAAUGACUCCUUUACCCAUGUCCUUAAACUCGUUUCUCCUGUGAACAUUUCAUCGGUGGGCCUCUUUCUCGUGAAAGUUUCCAUUAAUAAAACACCAUAGCUGUAGACAUCACAUUUAGCUGAAACAAUUCCUUCUGAUCCAUACUCUGCAUUUUUUUUAAUUUCAAUUAUGAAACAAAUGAUAAAACAAAUAAGUUUUUGAUAAUUAAGGUAACCCAAACUUUGCUCGUACUUGAAAAAAGAGUAAAAAUUUUAAUUACAAUUGAAACUUUACCUGGUGCCAUAUAACCAAUUGUAGCCAUUGUCAUGGUUUGUGUCACAGAAUCUUCUUCUUCACCUAAGAGUUUGGAAAUGCCGAAGUCGCUCACAUGUGCCACCAUAUUUUCAUCCAAGAGAAUGUUGGGAGGCUUCAAAUCACAAUGAAUUAUAGGUGCCGACGAAUGACCAUGAUGGAGAUAUUCAAGAGCCGACCCCACAUCUAUCAUUAUAUUCAACCUCUCUAGAAUGUCUAAGAAAUAGUUGUGAGAAUACAACCACUUCUCGAGACUACCAUUUGGCAUGAACUCAAGUACCAAUGCUUUAAAAUCUGGAUUAGAACAACUGCUAAGGAUCUUUAUGAGAUUUCGAUGACGAACAUUCUGUAAAACUUCACAUUCAGAAUCAAAACUCCUAAAUGCUCUCUCUAGUUGCAGAUUGAAAACCUUUAUCGCAACAUCAGUCCCGUCGGAAAUGGUUCCUUUAUAAACUGAUCCAAAGCUACCUGUACCAAGCAAGUUACAUUCAUUAAAUUCAUCAGUUGCUCGUUGAAUGUCUAGGUACGAUGUUCUUCUCCAUGUUGCAAGAGAUAGGAAAUCUUCGUGAUCUGAUUUUCUUGUACUUCUAUUUCGGCAUCUUCUGUACAUAAUGAUGGUAAUCACUAUAAGGACCGUGGAUACUAUCGGAGGCAAAAUAUAUUUAAGGACAAUUAGAGCAACUUUCUUGGUUCUUUUGCUGUUAUCUUGCUUGCAAGGUGGGACUCGAAGUUUAGGUGGACCACAGAGUGCAUAAUUUCCAAAAAAUGAUUCAGCUGACUAGUUUUUAAAAGACCCCUUAACAGGAAUUUCCCCUUCUAGCAUAUUUUGAGACACAUUAAAUUGUUUGAGAUGUGAAAGUGCCUCCAAUGACUUAGGAAUUUUUCCAGAGAAAUUGUUGCCGGAGAGAUCUAAGGAUUCUAAGCUUAUCAAACUGCCAACUGAUUCAGGGAUAGGUCCUUGAAAUUGAUUACUAGCCAAGGAUAGAGUUUCUAGAUCUACGAGGGCACCAAUGGUUGAUGGAAUAUUACCUGAUAAUUGAUUCCUUGAUAAAUCUAAAACUCUCAAGACCUUUAACUUUUGUACAUUGGAAGGGAGAGAAUCAUUUAAUGAAUUUGACGACAAGUUUAUCUCUAAGAUGUACUCAAGGCUCCACAAGGAUGACGGUAUACUAGAAGUGAGCUUGUUGGAGCCUAAGCGGAGUUCUCUUAGAGAUGUCAAACUCGCCAAGCAUGGCGGUAUAUGUCCAGAGAGCUUAUUUCCAUUUAACCUUAUUCCGUACAUCAACUCCAAGUGGCAAAGAUCAUAGGGAAUGGAUCCUUCCAAAUUAUUGUCUUCAAGAGAUAAACCUUGUAGCUGCUGUAAUGUUCCUACAGAUGUUGGAAUAGUUCCGUUCAAGUCAUUGAAGUCGAGGGUUAAGAGGAUCAAGCCACGUAAAUUACCAAUUUCUUUAGGAAUGCUGCCCCCGAGUUUGCACUCGUAAGCAUAAAAGCUUUGAAGAGAAGCAGAGAAAUUUCCAAUUAAUGGUGGAAGGAUGCCACCUAAUGGAUUAGAAUCUAAGACUAAAUAGGAUAGCUUUCUACAAUUAGUCAAAGAAGAGAGAAAACUCCACUGAUCUGCUGAAGAUGAUUCUGUCGUCAAGUUAUUCGUUCGUAUGCUGAGCACGUUGAGGUGCCUCAAGUUGCCAAAUGUAUUUGGUAUAUGGCCUGAGAAUGAGUUAGAGCCCAAGUCUAGACCAAUGAGUUUGGAAGCAUUGGUAAGAGAGUCAGGAAUUGUCCCGAUAAGAUUAUUGAUCGCCAAGGUUAAAUACUCUAUGUUCGGAAGCGAGUGGCCUAUCGUUGAUGGUAGGCGGCCUGAGAAUUGGUUGCUGUGUAGAUUAAGGACUCUUAUGGUUGAAAUAUUGAAGAUCGCGGGUGGAAUGAGGCCACUUAAAUUAUUCGUACCAAGAGCAAGACUCUCCAAAUUUUGUAGAUUGCCAAUCUCGGUUGGAAUUUGAUCUGUCAUAUCGAUUAAACCAACAUUGAUGAGUUAUUGAAUUUUUUGCUAAACAUAAAUUUAAUUUCAAAAUUCAUGAAAAUCAAAAUUUCCCACAAAAUAUGUGUUAUUAGUUUUAUAAUAAUUUAGGGGGUAAUGAUAUUUCUACCCCAUGAUUUUUGUAAAACACACAUGCUUUUAGAAAAUUAUUACCGCAAGAUCACAUUAUUCUUAAAAAUUCAAAUUAAGAAGAAGUUUCUAGAAUUAAUCAAUUAAAUCCAUAUUAAUUUAUAUUUGAAACUUAUAUUCUUUUAUUAUAUUUAAGUACUAAGGUUGUUUUAACAUAAAUUUAAUUGACUAUUUUACCCUCCUAAGGUAAAAGUACUAAAAUCCUCAAAAAUUUACUUCAACUAAACUAACAAAAUGUAUUUAUGACCUAUGGGGCAUUAAAAAUAUUGAAUUUUAUUUUUAAAAUAUUAUAUUACAAAACAUAAAACUAUAUGCUAGAUACUAUAGUACAUGUUUCUUGGGGUAAUAUAGUCAUUUUACAUUAUAAGGAUGAAAUAGUCAAAUUAAACUUAACUUGAAGCACCCGUAAAUGCCAAAAAUUGUUAAAAGACCUAAGUCAUAAAAGAAAAUUAUUAUCAGAAUAAUUUAUUUAGUUAAUUAUCUGACUUAUUGUUAAUUUAUAAUUUUAUAAGCUAUUGUGAACUUAUUGCAAUUAUCUAAUGGAGAUGAGGGGGGGUUUUGCAAGAAUAUGAGCGGCAGUAUUGCCACUCUAUAAAAUAAAAAGAAUUAUGCAGUCAUGCAAAUGCAAAUAUGCUGAACUUACCUUGCAGGUUGUUAUGACGAAGAUCCAAAUCAAAAAGGUUGCUCAAAUUUCCUAUCCCUGAAGGAAUAUUUCCAUCAAUAACGUUGAAACUUGCUUGUAACAUCUCCAAUUUCGAUAAGUUGAAGAGAGAAUUUGGGAUUGGACCCGUGAUAUUGUUAUUACGAAGACUCAUUAUUUGUAAUUUGGAUAAGACACCAAUCCAAGUUGGAAUGCUUCCACUCAAUUUAUUGAAACUGAAACUAAUGAAUUUGAGUCGGCCUAAUUUCCCCAAUUCAUUAGGUAGAUGGCCAUAAAAAUUGUUCAAAGUAACAUCAAGAGACAUUAGGAAUGAGAGAUUUCCCAGGUGUGGGGGAAUAGUGCCUCCGAGACCCAUGCCUGAAAGAUUUAAAGCCUUGACUCUUUGAUGGCGUGAAUCACAAGAAAUACCAACCCAGCUGCAUAUUGGAUGAGAUAUAGACCAAUUAUUUGCUAGGACACUCCGAUAAUCACCGACGUGGGCUUUGAAUGCAAGAAGAGCUGAUUGAUCUGUUAAAUUGUUUAAAGUCGUCGUAGCUAAGUUAGCUAUGGAAUAUUGUAACAACAUAGGAACAAAGAAGAACGAUAGGCGCAUAUUGGUCGUUUUUAAUAGAUACAGCAACAUAAUUGCUAGGUGAGAUUGAAACAAGUUUGAAGUGAAGGAAAUUAGCAUAUACUUAUACAAGAGACAUGAAUUUGAAAACAAGAAAAGAAAAAAUAUACAGGAGACUUGCAAACUGUUAUAUUUUGUCAUUAAGCGAGUCGUCCAAGUAAACGCACGUAUGGACUUGCAAAUUGUUAAACGUCGCUGUACUUGAACCGUAAACAAAGGGUGUGUUUGGUUGGAGGAUUAAAAGUGGGGAUUAGACACUUUUUUUUUUUUUUAAAUUUUAUCCUUAUCUCAUGUUUGGUGCUGUCAAGGGUAUUAGGAUUUAGUUAUCUUGAACUCACAAGCUAAUCUUAAUUUUGUAAAGGAAAUUAUCCCAAGAGGGGUCAUGGGAUUAGUUAGUAUUGGAUUAUAUUGAUAACUCAAUUAAACAUAAUAAUUUAUAAAUAUUAAAAUUAUAGUAAUAUGUGAUAAAUGUAAUAAAAAAAUAUUGAUUUUAAUAAUGUAAAUAAUAAAUUAUACUAAAAAUCAUUAUUAAUUUCACAUUAAAUUAAAAUUCUAUUUUACUUUAUUUAAUUAUUAAAUAUUUUUUAUAAUUCCAAAUUUACGUUAUAAAUUAAUUAUUAAAUUAGUAUUCAAAAAGAUAAAUUUUUAUAAAAUAAUAGAUUAUUGAAUAAAUAUCAUAUAAAUAUCAUAUACAUAUUUAACAAAAUAAUAAUUAUUUAAAUUAUGAUUUCUAUUUCUUUAACGUCAUUGAGGUUGAUUUGUAUAAUUAAUAAUACAAAAUUUUAGUUUAUAAUAAUAUUAAUAAUAAUAAUAACUUGUAAAUUGUAAUAUUAUAAUGUAAAACAUGAUUAUUUAUAGUCCAAUCUAAUAUUGUACCAAACACAAUAUAGUAUUAUAUAUAAUCCACUAUUAUUCAAUCCAAUUCAAUUUUAUCCAAUUUAAUCUAAUCUAAUUCAAUCAAAUCCGGCGGACCAAACCAGCCCAAAGGGUUUAUGGCCCUUUACUUACCAAACAGAAAAAGAUGCUCAACAUUGACAUCUUUGACCCAAUCCAAAUCUAAUCCAUACAUCUGCGGAUCAGAUGCAGAUUUAACCUAAUCCAUAUCCAAUCCACCAUUUUACGGAUUGGUUUGUAGACUGAAAAAUAUUAUAAGAAUAAUUUAUUAAUUGUUCAGACUUAAUUUAUAAUUCUAUAAGAUAAUGUGAACUUAUUAUAACUAUCUUAUCAAAAUGAGGUGGGAUUGCAAGAAUAAUGAGUAGAAAUAUCCCCAACCGAUAAAAUAAAAAGAAUUUUACAGCUAUACAAAUGCAAAUAUGUAGAACGUACCUUGUAGGUUGUUAUAAGCUAGAUUCAGAUACAAAAGAUUGCUAAAAUUUCCUAUCGCUGAAGGAAUAUUUCCAUCAAUGACGUUGUACGUUGCGUGUAACGCCUUCAGCCUCGAUUAAUUGAAGAGAGAAUUUGGGAUUGGACCCGUGAAACUGUUAUUACGAAGACUCAACACUUGUAAUUUGGAUAAGACGCCAAUCCAUGUUGCAAUGCUCCCACUCAAUUUAUUGAAAGUGAAACUAAUGAAUAUGAGUCGGCGUAAUUGCCCCAAUUCAUUAGGUAGAUUGCCAAGAAAAUUGUUCAGGCUAACAUCAAGAGAUUCAAAUGAAUUUUUGAUGGCGCGAACCGCAAGAAAUGCCAAUCCAGGUACACAUUGGAUAAGAUAUAGACCAAUUAUUUGUCAGGAUACUUCGAUAAUCAACGACACGGGCUUUGCAUGCAAGAAGAGCCGAUUGAUCGGUUGUUAAGAUGCAAUAGUGAGUAGUGAAAGUGGUUUGAGGUGGAGAUGCACCGGGAUCUACGGCCAUCCUGAGUUCAGCCAGAAGCAUAAUACUUGGACUCUCAUGAAAAGGUUAGCCAGCCUAUUUUCCUAUCCUUGGUGCUGUUUUGGUGAUUUUCAAUGAGAUAAUGCAUAUGCAUGAGAAAAACGGGGGCAAUGAGAGAAACCUGAAUAGGGUUGCCGAGUUUAGGGAAGCUGUGCAAAGCUGCAAUUUGCAGGAUAUGGGGUGUAAGGGAUAUCCCUAUACGUGGUCAAACAAAAGAUACAGAGAUCAUUUUAUUGAUGAGAGAUUGGACCGUUUUCUGUGUAGUAAAGAUUGGGGGAUUAAUUUUCAAGAAUCUGUAGGCACAAAUCUAGUGAACUGGUCUUCGGACCACUGCCCAAUCAUUCUAGAUUUCCAUGAGCGAAGCCAAAAUUCGAGACAUGCGGGCAAAUCUCUCCCCCGAGAUUAUUAUGAGGAUAUGUGGAGCUCCCACGAAGGCUGUAGGAGUAUAGUCCAGGAAGAGUGGAGCCGGUAUGGGGCUAGAGCUUGGGAAGCCCCUGUUCAGCAAUUUCAAUGAAUAGCCAAAUCUUCCUUGGCCCAGCUAAAACUUUAGAGCAAAACCGAAUUUCAUGGUAGGCAAAGAAAGUAAGAAAAGCUUAUGCAGAGCCUCCAGGAUGCUAUGAGAGGGAAUUCAAAGCUGGAUGAUGGCCAGGAAAUUAGGAGAUUGGAAAGUCAGAUUAACUCUAUGCUAGUUGAUGAGGAGAUUUACUAGAAACAGCGUUCGAGGGCCGACUGGCUUAGAGAAGGGGAUAAGAACACGAAGUAUUUUCACGCCAAAGCAUCUGCCCGCAAAAGGAAGAACAAGGUGUGGGGGAUUGAGAAUGACCAGGGCAUUUGGUUGAAGGAAAGGGAUGAAAUAGAGGAGGAGAUUUGCAGCCAUUUCCAAAAGCUUUUCACUACUUCCAGCCCGACUCCAAGCCAAAUCCAAGCAACCCUUCAAGGCAUGACAACAAAAGUAACUCCGGAGAUGAAUGUUCAGCUGGAGAAGCCGUUCACCGCUGAAGAUGUUGAGGAAGCCCUUGCCAACAUGUGUCCCACAAAGGCCCCAGGGCCUGAUGGUCUUCCAGCUGCCUUCUUCCAGAAGCAUUGGAAAUCUGUCCGUAACAGAGUGAUCUCAACGUGCCUUAAUGUCCUUAAUGAGCAAGGUAACCCAUCUACCCUCAAUCACACCUUUAUAGCUUUGAUUCCAAAAAUUGCAAAUCCUAGGAAAGUGAGUGAUUAUAGACCUAUCAGCCUCUGUAAUGUUAUUUAUAGAGUUGUAGCUAAGGCCAUUGCAAAUAGAAUGAAGCCGAUCUUUUCCCAAAUCAUCUCCCCUAUGCAAAGUGCAUUCAUCCCCAAUAGGCUCAUUACCGACAAUGUUAUUAUUGGUUAUGAAUGCCUUCAUAAAAUUAGGCAUAGCAAAGGGAAGAAGAACGGACUUGUAGCUUUAAAAUUGGAUAUAAGUAAGGCUUAUGAUAGAGUUGAGUGGCCUUUUUUGGAACAAACUAUGCUAAAGAUGGGGUUUCCUAGUAAUUGGGUAGCUCUGAUAAUGAGAUGUGUUAUUUCCACUUCAUUCUCGGUGCUAAUUAAUGGUGUGCCAAAAGGAAUGAUCCAGCCAAAAAGAGGCUUGCGACAGGGCUGCCCGCUAUCCCCGUACCUUUUUAUCCUUUGUGCAGAGGCUCUCUCCAAUUUGCUGGUUGUGGCAGAACAGAACCAGCUAAUCCAAGGGCUCAAAUUUGCGCGGGAAGUUUCAAUUACGCACUUGCUGUUUGCGGACGAUAGCUUGGUAUUCUCUCGUGCAUCAGUGGCUGAAUGCAGGCAUUUAAAAGAAAUGUUUGAUAAAUAUGCUGCAGCAUCAGGGCAGAUUUUUAAUUUUCAGAAAUCCUCACUGUUCUUCAGUGGAAAAAUUCCAGAGCAUCAACGGGCUGCUAUAAGGGGUAUCUUUAAUCUAAAUGUAGUCUCAAAGCAUGAGAAAUACCUUGGCCUACCAUCAAUGAUUGGGAGAAAGAAGAUGGGGUUCUGUAACGACAUCAAGCUGAAAGUGUUGAACAAGAUUGCAGGAUGGCAGCAUAAAAUGUUGUCUAGUGGGGGGAAGGAAGUUCUGAUCAAAGCGGCAGCCCAAGCAAUUCCGGCGUAUGCAAUGAGUGUUUUCAAGCUCCCAAGAGGCUUUUGUGAUGAUAUUCAGCGAGCUAUAGCGAAGUUCUGGUGGGGCUCGAAAGGGGAUAAGCACGGAAUCCAUUGGCGAAAAUGGGAGAAGCUCAGCCAGGCAAAGAUUAGAGGGGGGCGGGGAUUUCGAGAGUUUUCUUGCUUCAAUCAAGCGCUGGUAGCUAAGCAAGCUUGGAGGUUACUGCAGUACCCAAAUUCGCUGGUCUCCAAAGUCCUUCAAGCAAGAUAUUUCAGGAAUUCCAGCUUUUUAUGUGCAAAGGCAGGAGCCAAUGCCUCGUAUAUUUGGAGAAGCAUCAUGUGGGGUAGGCAGGUGAUUAAGAAGGGUAUGAGAUGGCAGAUAGGUAAUGGCAAGAAGGUAGCAAUUUUCUCGGAUAACUGGCUGCCAAGACCAGAGACCUUCAGACCUAUCUUCCCUCCAUCUUUGCCCGUAAGCUCAGUUGUUGCAGAUUUAAUUAAGGCUGAUAAUCAAUGGGAUGAAAUAAAGCUUCGACAGCACUUCAUGGAUGUAGACACAGCAGAGAUCCUCAAGAUUCCCCUCCCAACUGAGAAAGAAGAAGAUGGAGUGCUUUGGGAUUACGACAAAAGAGGGAACUACUCUGUCAAGAGUGGGUAUCAGCUAGCAUUGAGAUCAAAAUUUCCAGAUUCCACCAGCUGCACAGAGGCUUCCCACAAGUACUGGAGUGCCCUUUGGACACUGGAGUUGCCUGCGAAGCUUAAAAUUUUCAUGUGGAGGGCCUCUAAUAAUCUGCUUCCAUCGGUGGAAAAUCUGUGGAAAAGGAAGGUAGUGGAGGAGCCAACUUGUAAGCGAUGCAAACUGAGUGUUGAGACUAUCAGCCAUGCUCUCUUGGAGUGUAAGGUAGCGAGAAAAAUUUGGCUCCAAUCCCCCUUUUCAGGCCUUAGAUUAGAAGCCAAUUCUCAGGACAUUUUCAGCACUUUGCAAAAUAUGGCUAAGGAGAUGAGGAAAUCAGAUCUGGAAUUAAUGGUAGCUCUGUGUUGGUCUGCCUGGUAUGCUAGGAACAAAUGUAUCUUCGAUGGCAGGGAGAUUAAUCCUAUUAUAUCAGCUGCUAAAGCGGAGUCUGUUUUGUCAGCUUUUCAGAGAGUUAGGAAGCCCCAGCAAGCUCACAUCUCUAUCUUCAUAAAAGAGAAGCAGCAGGAGUGGCUCCCCCCUCCCCCGAAUGUUUUUAAAGUUAAUGUGGAUGCUGCUCUUAAUUCAAAGAAUCUGAGUGCAGGAGUGGGAACUGUGAUUAGAGACUCUAAUGGAAAGAUAGUUGCGGCUGGGGUAAAUCAGAACCUCCUAAAGGGGUCAGCUAGCUUGGCUGAAGCAGAGGCGGUGCUUUGGGGCCUUCAGCUGGCGAGAAAGGCGGAUGUAUCCUCUUUGAUUAUUGAGUCUGAUUGUUUAGAGGUGGUCCAGCUAGUGAACAACACCAAGGGCAGCAGAUCAGAAAUUUUUUGGACAAUUCUGGCAAUCCAAAACCAGAUGAAGAACUUCCAGAAAGUGGUUGUCAAUCACAUUCCAAGACAUUGUAAUGCUUGUGCCCAUUACCUAGCUAAGAUAGCUUUGGGGAAAAUCUCUCCCUGUAUGUGGCUGGGAAAUAUUCCAGCUGAAUUGUAUGGUAUUAUCAAGGUGUUGUGAUUAAUGAAAGGUUUACUUUCUUUUCAAAAAAAAGAAGAAUGAUAAGCGCAUAUUGGUCUUUUUUUUUAGAUGCGUCCAUCUAAUUGCUAAGUGAAGUUGAUACAAGUUUUAAGUGAAGGAAAUUAGCAUAUGCAUAUACAAGAGGCGUAUGAAUUUUGAUAACAAGAAAAGAAAACAAUAUACAGGAGAGUGGAGGCUUGCAAAUUGUUAUAUUUCAUUAUUUAGCGAGUCGUCCGAGUAAACGCGUAUAGACUUUUAAAUUGUUAUACGCCGCCGUACUUGAACCGUGAAUAAAGGGCUUAUGGCACUUGAGUUACCAAAAAGAAGAAGAUGCUCAACAUUGGCAAGGCCUAUGCAUUCUGUCCAUUUGUUCACGUUUUGCCGAGGCUCAUGGCAACCACAAUAUGUUCUUUUUCUUUCCUCUAAAAAACAAAAAGACGACCUUCACAUUUGGGCUAAUAAUUAUCACUAAACAAUUAAUAAUGCUGAGGGCUAGUGGUAAUGUAGCUUUAAAAUAAUUGUUAUUAGUUGCGCCUUAAAAAUAAAGAAAUAAAGAUAGUUAUACUAUACCCCCACAAUUUAAUAAAAUAAUCAUGUAAAUUUCUAAACUUUUAACAAUAUACACCAAGACCCCUUAUGUUACUUUUUACCAUUUAUUUGGAUGUCACAUGCUUUUUUUUUUUUUUUUUUAAAUUUUUCACUGCAGAAAUUAAAUGCUAAAUUUACUGUUAUUCCCAUAUCAUGUCAUCGCUUGCUUCUACACAUAUUGAUUGUUUUUCCAAAGUUUAAAAUUGAAUUAAAAACAUUCUAAUUAACCUAAAAAUUAAAAAAAAAACUCAUCCAACCAGAUAUAAAUCUUCUAAUUAACCUAAAGAUAAGCUACACCCCCAUAUUAAUUCCAAUUAAAUAAAUCUUCAUUUUUGUCAUGGUUUUGGAUCUCGAGCAGGGUGGAUACAUCCAACCAGAUCCGCCCCAUUGGCAUUCCAAUAUAUUAUGGAAUUGGAAGAGUAUCAAUGACUUAAUUUGUAAUUUUAAAUUUGUAACGUAUAAUUCUAAUUUAAGGAUUCAAAUUAAUUUAUGCGGAUCUAAAAGGGGACUGAUGAUGGGCAUGCAUACAUACAUGCAUACAUAUAUUUACAUAGAGAGAGAGAGAGUGAGGUAAUAUAACAUUCUUCUUGAUGAAGAUUUUUGUGCCAUACGCAUUAAAGAGAGUAUUGUGUCGAUGUUGGAGGCUAGAGGGACAAGUGGUUACAUUGCUUCAGAGGUGUUUAGUAGAAACUUUGGUGAGGCAUCACAUAAUUUAAACUACUAGAUUUAGCGAGAUAUAUAUAUUUUCCACAUUGGAUUUACAAGCAUUUGGAGCAGGAUAAUGAAUUUAAAUUACUCGGAAUUGUAAACAGCGGAAAGUGAAAUUGCUAAGAAGAUGAAUAUUGUUGUUUUGUGGUGUAUACGGACUCGUCCAUCGGAUAGGUCGCCCAUGAACAGAGUGAUAGAAAUGUUAUUGCAAAGAAGCAGACUGACUAGCAGUGACGCUUUGAAUAAAUCCACCAAACAUCUUCUCCUACAAGACCACCAAUAUAUUCUUCCACCAUUCAACGUCGUGAUGUGGGGAUCAGAAUUGAAUUAUAGGAUGCUUGUAAGUUUCCUUUGUGGAACUUGUGAAUUUGUGAUGGCAAAAGUCAAUGAUGCAUGUAACUAGCCGGCCCGUGUAGAGGCCGUUUGACUCAUAAAUAUUUGUCACUUUCACUCUUUUUCAAAACCCAAAAGCACGCUAAAGCUUAAUCUAAAAAGAAUUUUUGAUUUAGUGCUGACAUUUUGGGCUCACCUUUGAGUAAUGUUUUACCACGCAUGCAUUUAUGUCAUUGUGCGGUCAUCCUUUACUUCUAAAGAUCGUAAUCUUUAAGAAAAAAUUACUUCUUUUGAAAGUGAAAGCAGGCCAGCUAUUGGCGUAUUGCAUUGAAGCUGCUAUGUGUAGUAGUCAAUUCUUGGAAAGAACUAGUUUUCUUAAAUUGUAAAUGGUCCCCUUUAUGACUGGGAGAUUUUGAACAAAAUUAAUAUGAUGAAUUCUUAGCAAGUGUUGUUCCUUGAAGUCUCAUCUUUCACAAUGUUUUUGAAAUAAAGAUAUUACCAUCUCUGACUAAAGAUUUACUCUUGAUUUGGACCACCUAAUCUGAACUUGAUGGAUGAUUAUGAUCUUGCCUAAUUUUAUGGAUGUGGUCUUAUCUCACGUAAGUCAGUAAUGAAUUAAUUAAAGUUUACUGUCAAAUUAUGAACUGAAAAACUGCUGCUACUUCAUUAUUCACAAUGCCCAAAUUCAGUGCAGAACUGAUUAUAAGUUUUCCGAAAGUUUUACGCUUUCUUUCCCCCAAAUCCCAAGUACUUCCUGUAAUAUCAUUCCCCUAUAGAUGUCUUCCCCUGAGACAUUUUUAACUUUGGUUCAGGGUAACAAAGCUAUAGCUUUUCCUGUCGUGUGCAACAAGCUAUUAAAUUAGAGUAUUUAUUUCUGUAUUACUACUAGUAGUAAGAGAGGCGAAAUGGAAUCUUGAAUUCAUGUUUAUACAACAGUUUGUUUAUAAAUAAAUGAGUUGAUAACAAGUCAUUUUAAAUAUUUGCAAAAAAAAAAACGGUGAGUGAUGUCUAGUUCUAUUUUCAAUGUUCAGAGUCGAAUUUUGAUUACUGAAAAUUUUAAUUUAUGAAGUUGAACUAAGAAUUUGUUAUAAUAUAUUCCACCUUCCUAUACAGUCAUCUGGAAUAAUAAUAUAUCAAAAACAGUAAUAACUUGAUUUACAGGGUGAGAAAGAAAAGAAAGACGCUACGAGGGAAGCAGAGAUUCAAAGACUUCGCUACUUUGUUGGAGGAACAAUUUCAUAAAUCUCCAGAAUAUUGACAUAAAACACAGAACAUAUCUAGCAUUAAGUAUAUUUAUGUAUGUCCAAAGAUAAAAAUUCGAAGAUUAGAUUUAUCAUUUCAAUUUAUGUUCCGCCCAAAGCAAUGGCUUUUAUUCCACAAGCACAAACAAGAAAGAGUACACAAAGUUAACAAACACACAUGUUGAUGCGAGAUUCUGGUUGUCCUCGUUCUACGACCAGGGUCUCUGCUCGAUCAACUUCACCACGACCAGGAUCUCUCCUCGUAAAGCUUCUUCUCCAGAGGUUCCUGCGCACACAGACAGGUCAGAGUACGCCGGUUUUUUUCCCGGCGCAAACCCUCCAACGCUCAAGUCAGAAAUAGGGGUUCUGGGAAUGUUUGCCACGAAUCUUAUGGCUUCUUUUUAAUCUCAGUUCUCGGAACUUUCUUUUCUUAGUUCUAAUAGCAAAAAGUCUAACCCUUUUACCUUUGCUGGCUACUUUUUUAUAGGCUUCCUCUGAAUCCCGGUCUUCCGUAGUCCACGCCCAUUACUCUUCCCACCCUCGGAUGUGGAUGCCCCAUUGUCGUCAUUGUGGGCGAAUGGAGAUGGACUUCGUGCCUUGAUUCUCGGAUAGGAACGCACGUCUUGCCAACUGUCGUUGACCGGGUCUCCUCGCCUCGACCCCUAGCAGGAAUGGCCUUAUGCCUCUAACAGGAGUUCGUCCUCGUGAAUGGCAUAUUUGUGGACGAGCAGAAUAUUCCUGCUCCUGUUCCCUUGCUACCAGGCUCUUACAGGACAUACCUGUUCGCAGAACUCUGCCACCAAAUAUAUGCUCAUCAUGUCUGGUCUCGUCGAAGUAUUUCCCUCAAACACCGGUCCCCCAGUUUCUGGUGUUGGGUAAUGUAAUGGACCAGCAGUAGAAACUCAACAGUUCUUGCUCGCGUGAGACUUGAAAAGGCUGCCAAGAGUCGUGUCGCAUUUAAUUGCGGAUGCAGUGAUGUGGCAGAAAUCUACCCCUUCGUUUGAAUUUCAAACCUACGGUUGCAAGAUUCUCAGAAUCUGCGUCAUUAAAUGCUGGCAGCCCAAAAGUUUGCUUCUCAGUAAGAAAACCCAAAAUCCUCAAACACGAACUCGUCAUUUUCUCCAUUCCUGUCUCUCCGGCUAAUGAACCUCGGCAUUAAAGCUUUCAUCCCUGUCUCUCUCUGAGCGAGUCCCUGCUUCAGGUAUUUCUUCUAUCUUCACGGUCUCGGUUAGUUGUAGAUAAUUUCUUUUCUCUUUGCUUUGCUUGGGGUAGUAUCUGGUAGUGGUGUUUUGGUUAUAACCUAGGGAAUGUCGAAGGGUAAGGAGAAAGUCGUUGAUAUUGAUGACGACGAACUAGGUUUCUUGCCUAGUCUGCUCACUGAUUCUGCUUUUGGCCCCGGGAUCCCCUUAGAGCCCACUAGGUCUAGUGUUGGGACUAGCGCUAGGAGGAUGUCCCCCCAAACAACCUCCACGAGCGGAAGUAGUGGCGAGGAGGGACCUUCUGGCUCGGAAGACACCCUAAGUGAGGAUCAAUGAGGUGACUCUGGUGAGGGAUCUUCACCGGGAACACUGCGACCAGAAGGGUGUAGUACAGUAGGAGGUAGAGCCUUGUCGCGGGAUUAUGCUAUUGAUUACAUGACCUGCACGACCACAUUCAACGAGCUGGAUGACCUCCGGCUCAGGUAUCAUAUUCCUGGUGAGGUACUCCUUAGGAUCCCAGGAAAGAAAGAUAGUCUUAGCAGGCCUCCUAGGGGAUUUGUCACCUUGUUCUUGGAGAGUUUUAAGUACGGGCUAAGGUGCCCCUUGCAACUCUAUUUUGCUCGCAUACUCCACGGGCUCAAUCUAGCUCCUGGUCAGUUGAACCCCAAUGGGUGGAGGGUGCUCUUUGGUCUGUUCAUAUUGUGGGACAGAUGUUGCCAAAGCGAGCCCACGGUUGAUGAGGUGAAGCACCUGUACCAGCUAAGGAGUAGCCCCAAAGAUGCCGGCUGGUACUACUUCCAAUCUAGUACCAAGAGUAGGAAACCCAUAACUGAUCUUCCAACUGGUGGUGGUGGGACUUGGAAGAGGAAAUUCUUUUUUGCUGGGGGUCCUUGAGGUCAAGUUGCACAAAUAGACGGGAAGGAUUGUCGCGUCCCACCCCGUUUCACGGUCCCAGGUUGCCUGCUCACUUUAGAUGUCUUGUAUCCAUAAUUGUUCUUACUUUAUUGGUUUGUCUCUAACCAAGUGUCUGUUUGUGUUGUAGUUUCUUGGGGUGUUCAUUUUCCGCUCAAACCUGAUCAGCUCAAACGGGUCGAGGCUGUACUAGCCAACUCCUGCCCGAGCCGAGAACUGAUAACUAUUUAUAACUUCCUCGAGUCUCGCUUGGUACUCCCUGGCCAUAAGAUGGAGGACGCUGUGAUUGGGGCUCUGAACAGGAAACGUUCUCGACCUCAAAACACGAAGAGGGACCAGAACAAGGACGCCCCUAGGGCAAAGCGGACCAACAUCGUGCAGCAAGUCUCUCCCUUGAAGACUUUACCUCCUGCUCCUGCCAAAGUCAGCGAAACUAGUGGAGCAGCCACAGAUCCUGCUUCCUCUUCUCCUCCUGUCGGGCCUCGAUCUCGCUUUCCUGACAGCCGAGCAGAACACUUGGUCCCCUAUCUCAAUGAGUUAUCUAAACUCGUGAGCAAGAAGGACCUGGAGGACUUUAAUGGCUGCACCCUGGGCGAGCUGGUAGGAGCCAUGCAGUAUAGUGCUUUCCAUCUCAGCUGCAUGACCACCUAUUAUAAGGCUAAGGUUGGCCGUUAUGACAGGAAGAUGAAGGAGGACAUUCAAUCAGCGAUGACCAGAGCUGACGCCGCCGAGAAGAAAGCAGGAGAGCUAAAUGUCGAGAACCUGAAGCUGAUAGAGCAAGAAUCUCUUGCUCAAGCAAAAGCCAUUACCCUCGAGGAGGAGCUGACCAAGGUCAAGGAGGAUCUUCAAAGGCAGAAGGCAAUGUAUGAGGCUCAGCUCGAAUCUCUCCGCGAUUCCCAUCGAGCUCAGGUCGAGAACUUGGAGAAGGAGGCCGACAACCAGUACGACCAGGGACUUCGGCAUUCCUAUCGUUGCAUCAUGGCCGUCCUCGGGAAGCAGCAUCCUGAUCUAAAGAUGGACGACCUUGCAGCUGGUGUCGCCCAACAUAUGGACGAGGAGGCUGCAAAGGAGGAUGCCGAAGGGGUAGACGCAAUCGUGAUUGAGGAGGAAAACUCUCCUCCUCAUGUAGACCCUGCUGACGUUGGCGAGGCGAGCACCCCCCCGGACGCAACUGGUGAUACCCCCCCUGCACCUGAGGAGGUCCAGCCAACCGAUGCUGCUCGGCAUACUGAUCCGCCAUCUUCUUGAACUUAUCUUGUGCUGUAAUUGCUUUUUGAAUAUUCUAUAUAACAGCUUUGUAAACUUUUAAGAGCUUAAUAAGAUUGUUCUUAUUUGCUUCCUCGCAUUGGUAUUUUAAUUUAUUUAUCUAUUUGGCUUCUGUCCUCGUCACAGAGGAGGCCUUGAAGUUUGACGAGCCUUUGCCUGUCUUGGAUAAUUUCUUCAAUGAUUGGGAUUCUGCUCGCCUUCGCGUGGUCGAGCAGAUCCUGGCACGCUUGGCUUUUGGUCUCGCCAUAAACAGGCUUUGAGACUCGACGAGCCUUUGCAUGCCUUAGUUUCUUCAAGGAUUGGGAUUCUGCUCGCCUUCGUGUGGUCGAGCAGAUCCUGGCACGCUUGGCUUCUGGUCUCGCCAUAAACAGGCUUUGAGACUUGACGAGCCUUUGCAUGCCUUAGUUUCUUCAAGGAUUGGGAUUCUGCUCGCCUUCGCGUGGUCGAACAGAUCCUGGCACGCUUGGCUUCUGGUCUCGCCAUAAACAGGCUUUGAGACUCGACGAGCCUUUGCAUGCCUUAGUUUCUUCAAGGAUUGGGAUUCUGCUCGCCUUCGCGUGGUCGAGCAGAUCCUGGCACGCUUGGCUUCUGGUCUCGCCAUAAACAGGCUUUGAGACUUGACGAGCCUUUGCAUGCCUUAGUUUCUUCAAGGAUUGGGAUUCUGCUCGCCUUCGCGUGGUCGAGCAGAUCCUGGCACGCUUGGCUUCUGGUCUCGCCAUAAACAGGCUUUGAGACUUGACGAGCGUUUACAUGCCUUCAAUUCUUCAAGGAUUGGGAUUCUGCUCGCCUUCGCAUGGUCGAGCAGAUCUUGGCACGCUUGGCUUCUGGUCUCGCCAUAAACAGGCUUUGAGACUUGACGAGCCUUUGCAUGCCUUCAAUUCUUCAAGGAUUGGGAUUCUGCUCACCUUCGCGUGGUCGAGCAGAUCCUGGCACGCUUGGCUUCUGGUCUCGCCAUAAACAGGCUUUGAGACUUGACGAGCCUUUGCAUGCCUUCAAUUCUUCAAGGAUUGGGAUUCUGCUCGCCUUCGCGUGGUCGAGCAGAUCCUGGCACGCUUGGCUUCUGGUCCCGCCAUAAACAAGCUUUGAGACUUGGUGAGCCUUUGCAUGCCUUUGAUAAUUUCUGGAAAGCUUAGGAUUCUGCUCACCUUCUCGUGGUCGAGCAGAUCCUGGCACGCUUGGCUUCUGGUCUCGCCAUAAACAGGCUUUGAGACUUGGUAAGCCUUUGCAUGCCUUUGAUAAUUUCUUGAACAGUGUAGUUGAUUCAAACUCCUCAUUGAUUCAUUUAUUAUUGAAUUCGGCUUACAUGAGGUUGCUUUGAAAUAAGAAAUAAAAAAAUAGAAAACAACAGACAUGAACAGAAAAAAAACUUUAAAACAUGAGUAAGUCUUACUAGAAAUAUUUCCUGAGGUGUGCCGCGCUCUAGGGGCGUUUCACCUCGUGGCCCUCCGUGCGAACCAACUUGUAAACUCUGGGUCCAACUAGCUGCCAUUCCUGGCUUCCACUCGGGUAUCAAAGGAUGUUAUCUGCAUUGCUUCCUUUGUUGCCGAGGAGUAACAGCUUCGUGCGAUUCUCUGGUCUCCUCGUACCACUCCAACUACCCCAUUCACCCGGUACUUGAGAGCCAGAUAAUGGUUGGACAGCACCGCUUUGCUCAUCCUCAGAAAUGGCCGGCCUAGGAUCAUCUGAUAAGGACCUUCCUCAUCCACUACCACAAAGUCCAGUAUCAUUGUCCUUUCUGUCGGGGAGCUCCCAAUCGUGAUAAGUAGCUCGACCACGCCCAGAGGGACCAACUUUCCUCCUCCAAACCCCUUCAAGGAGGUAUUGGUGUAAUCCAACUUCAGGUCUGCUAUUCCCAUUUCCUCCAGGGUUGACUUAAACAACACAUCAACUGAGCUCCCUGUGUCAACCAGUAUCCUGUCAAACUUCUUGCUGGCAACAGUGGCCUUGAUGACCAAAGCAUCCUCGUGGGGGUAUAGAAUCCCUUCUUCAUCCUCAUCUGUCCACAUGAUUGGCACUUGCCUGACUCUUGCACAUUUGGCUGCUGGGGUGUUGAAGAAUACAUCUUUGCUGGUCAUGGCGUAUCUAGCGUAAUUCUUCCUCGACCUGUUGGAAUCUCCGGCCAAUGUUGGGCCCCCAGCUAUCACCCUUAGUGCAGGAUGCUCGCGCCUCAGGUUUCUAUCACUCUGCUCCCCUUCAUAUGUCGAGGCCACCAUCGGGAAAGUCCCAUCUACAAACUCGUCCAGGUACCGAUUUCUCACCAAAUCUUCAACCUGGGUCUUGAGAUCUCUGCAUUCUGCGGUGGUAUGGCCAUGAGUGCCAUGGAACUUACAAUGGCGUCCCCUAUCCCUCCUGCCGGGUAGCUUUGUUAUUGGGGCAGGGAGGUACAGCAGUCCUCGGUCCUUUAUGGCCUCGUAUACUUCAUCUAGGGACAUCUUCAAGGACGUGUAUCGCCCAUACUCCUGGUUCUGGUCGAUCAGGUGCACGGCCCUUUCUCUAUUUGCUCCGUUCUGAGUUGGAGGCGAUGACAGCAUUUCUGGUCUGCUCCCUCUACUACCGUGGGAGUGUUGAUGAAGACCACCAUAUGUCGAAUCAUGCCUUCUCCAAGGCUCCCUAGCUGGGGAACGAGGAGGGUGCGCCCUGCUGCGCUGAUACUGUGGUGGCCUCUGAUGAGGCUGGUGAGCUGUUACCCGACCUCCUGCUCCACUACCUGAGGCCUGGAGGUCCCUCCUCCUGAUCGGCCAAUUUCCCAGUAAUGCCCUCUUUUCUUUCUUUUCCAACCCCUCCAGCUGGUCUGUCUUAAUCCGAGCUGCCUUUUCUUCCUCGAUCUCUAUGUCUCUUUUAGCUUGCUCGUAUGCGGCUGCAUACGUCUGAAUAGCUGGGCUUCUCAAGUUGUACCACAGCCUUCCUAUCUUCACUCCCUCUUUCAAUCCCCUUAGUGCCUGAGGAUGGUCGAAGGCUCCCAAAUCGAGGACAGCACGAUGAAACCUCUUGAUGAAUUCCCGAAGAGUUUCUUGUUCCCCUUGCUUCAUGCUUUUCAACUCCAUCAUGUCAUCUUCUAGUGCCAUUGCCCCACGAAACUGCUCUGCAAACUCCUGGCACAUCUGCUCGAAGGUUUUAAUGCUCCUCCCCCGAGGAAGUUUUCUGUACCACUCUCGUGCACGUCCCUCAAGGGAUAGUGGGAACACCCUGCCUGCACCUUUGGGAUUGAGAUAAUCCUUGUACCCCAAUUAUGUCGUUGAAGCGCUCUAUGUGCACCAGCGGAUCUGUUCGUCCCGAAUAUCUAAGGUCUGGGAGGCGGAAAUCUCUCGGAAUAACUGCCCUCAUGAUCUCUGCUGCGAGCGGUGAUUCUCCAUCUAGCAUUAUCCUCCAACCAGGAGCUCUGCUCCUUCCUUGCAUGUCGUCAAUUAUCUGCGCUAGUCUGCGCACUUCCUCCUCCAGCUGCACUGCACGACCAGGGUCACGUGCUGCAACUUGAUCCCGCUCUUGCUCUACAUCAAGCAAGUGUUGCCUCAACUCUGUUUCCUCUGCAUUUGCCACCCCGUCGUCCUCGUCAAAAAUCUGUCUUGCCGGGAAUUGCUCUUCCUCUCUACGGAAUUCUCCCCGCAGAGGUAUGUUACCUCUCUCACCACCAAAUCUCCCGGUGGUUUGACUUCUCCUCGUACUAUCGGGACCUAGUGCCACUCCACCAACUCUCAUCCUUUCCUCCUGGGUUACCCUUCGUUCACUCCGCAACUCAUGCAGGAUGGUUGUCAGGGUCUCCAUCUGCUUUUCCAUUCGUUCCAUUCGGUCGAACAUGGCUUUUUCCCGUGCUUCACUGGCUAUCUCCCUCAGAGUCACGGAAUCGUUAAGCCUCAUAUCACCCCCUUGUGCACUACUUCCUCCUGUCUCCAUUGCUUUUCACUUGCUUCACUCCUCUUCUUGCUAUCAACAGAAGCUUUUUGAUCAGCUCCCCACAGACGGCGCCAAAAUAUUGAUGCGAGAUUCUGGUUGUCCUCGUUCUACGACCAGGGUCUCUGCUCGAUCAACUUCACCACGACCAGGAUCUCUCCUCGUAAAGCUUCUUCUCCAGAGGUUCCUGCGCACACAGACAGGUCAGAGUACGCCGGUUGUUUUCCCGGCGCAAACCCUCCGACGCUCAAGUCAGAAAUAGGGGUUCUGGGAAUGUUUGCCACUAAUCUUAUGGCUUCUUUUUAAUCUCAGUUCUCGGAACUUUCUUUUCUUAGUUCUAAUAGCAAAAAGUCUAACCCUUUUACCUUCGCUGGCUACCUUUUUAUAGGCUUCCUUUGAAUCCCGGUCUUCCGUAGUCCACGCCCAUUAGUCUUCCCACCCUCGGAUGUGGAUGCCCCAUUGUCGUCAUUGUGGGCGAAUGGAGAUGGACUUCGUGCCUUGAUUCUCGGAUAGGAACGCACGUCUUGCCAACUGUCGUUGACCGGGUCUCCUCGCCUCGACCCCUAGCAGGAAUGGCCUUAUGCCUCUAACAGGAGUUCGUCCUCGUGAAUGGCAUAUUUGUGGACGAGCAGAAUAUUCCUGCUCCUGUUCCCUUGCUACCAGGCUCUUACAGGACAUACCUGUUCGCAGAACUCUGCCACCAAAUAUAUGCUCAUCAUGUCUGGUCUCGUCGAAGUAUUUCCCUCAAACAACACAUAGCAAACAUGACAUUAACUACUUGCAGCAGCAUCAUCCAGAAACUUCACUAUAAUCUUCUUGAGCUUUUCAGCGGCAUCUUUCGUAGAUGCCCUUUGUUUUGGUGACUCCAUGCAAAAAUCCAAUGCCGAAUGCAUGAUGCUUAAUAAACAAUUCAUUUUAUUAGUACAUUGGAUAUAAUCGAAGGCAGAGUAUAUUUCAGGACAAGUAGAGUAGCAUUCUUGGAUCCUUUGCUAUUAUCUUCUUUGCAAGGUGGGACUUGAGGUCCUGGUGGACAACAUACUGCAUAAUUCUAAAAAAAUUAUUGAGCUGAAAUGUUUUUAAAAGGUCUUUUGAUAGAAACUCCCCCUUCUAGCCUAUUGUGAGACACAUUAAGUUGUUUGAGAUAUAAGAGUGCCUCUAUUGACUUUGGAAUUUCUCCAGAGAAAUUGUUGCUUGGGAGAUCCAAAGAUUCCAACCUUAUCAAACUACCAAAUGAUUUGGGGAUUAGACCAUAAAAUUGGUUUCUAGCCAAGCUAGAUCUUUGGGGCCACCAAUAUUUACUGGCAUAUCACCUGAUAAUUGAUUUCUUGAUAAAUCUAACUCUAUUAAGACCCUUAAGUUUUGUAUAUCACUUGAUAAUUGUUUGUAUUGGGCCUUCUAUUUUCAUUAUAGAAUAAAUUAACUAUUAAUUUUCAUGAGAAAAAUACUUAUUUCCAUAAAAUUAUUCAAGCUUUUAAAAAGAUUUAGAAUUAAAAAUCAAACUUUGUACUGUAGAAAAUUUGCCGGUACGUUCAAUUAGUACUUUGUUUGAGGAAAUAAGAUUAGAAUAGGCUAUAGGUACGGUAGUUAUGCGGUACCUGUUUAAUAACCGUAGUAUAGUAAAUGUUUGACUUUUUUAUUAGAAAUAUAUCAUUAACAAUUUUGUUCGCUAAUUGAAUAGAGAAAGAAAGGGGGGGUGGGGGGGGGGGGAGGGCAAAAAGGUUAACACAUUUCGAAACUACAAACGAUUGCCUUUUCCUAUUAAUAAUGUUUGCGGAUUCUAACAAUUGAAUCUCAAGGUCAUUACAUAGUGAAUUUUAUAGUUAAUAAAAUUAAUAUUCCACAUACUAUCUACUCAAUUAAUGUCACAUUUUUUGAAACUUGAAUGAUCUAUUUGCUACAAUUAGGAGCCAACGUCGUAAUGAAUGUUAAAUUAUGCUGUUUGUUUUGAUUUACUUUUCUAUCUUAGCUCCAAGUGAUUAGCGGAAUGCUGGUCUUGUGAGUAUAAAAUGAACUCCUUAAGUCAAAUUCCUUCUGGGGUGUUGGAGAAAGAACUAAAUACAUGUAAUCUUGCUUUCGGAUAUGGAUUAUCUGAUGGAUGUUGUAUUUUCUAGGUAUUGAGGAGAUUCCUCAUUAUUGAAAAAUUACGUUCCCGAGCAUCAAAAGAUGAUCCCAUAGAAUUGCGUUCUCCUGUGACAAAAGAGGAGCUUGUAGCUGAGGUAUCGAUUUUUAUCUUUCUUGAUUGUUCUUUAUAGUUGUUUCUCAUCAAAAUAGAAAAAGCAGUUUGUUCUGAGUGACCUGUGCGGUCUACUAUCAAUCACUGCCAUUUCUAUCAUUUAGUACUAUUGACUGUGUGUAUAGAUAUUUUGUUUUUGCCAUGUAAUUUCAUGUUUGAUACAUUUCUAAUACAUUGCAUAGCGUUCAUGAACGAGAAUGAUAAACUAACUUUCAGGUGUGUUUAAGUAGAUGAAAAAACUUGGUACAAUUUAGAAGGAUUCACUAAUUUUCCAAUUUGUUUGUAUGGAGAAAUUGAAUAGUUAAUUGAUUAGAGGAUUGCAAAGUGGGUAGGUCCAGCUGGGCAUUGUCAAUAUUAACGAUCGAUGUUUUGAGAAGGUCUGGAGCUGACAUCACGGUUGCGUCUGUGGAGAAACAACUUCGUGUCGACGCGUGUCACGGUGUCAAGAUUGUCGCUGAUGCUCUCGUGUCUGACUGCCGCGACGCCGUUUUUGAUCUUAUAGCUCUUCCCGUAUGUAUUGCAGCUCACCUCAGCUCAUGCCAAUUUAUGUGAUGUUUGUAUAAUUAUAGAUGAUUAUUGCUGAUACUGAAUGUUAAGCUAAAUAAUUCGUUCUUAAGUCAUCUUCAUUUAAUUUUCGAUUGAAAAUGAAAAAAAUAAUAAUUGUAAGCAAAGAAAAAUAUCGAAAAUGUUUAUUUUGUUUUAAUUUUAUUUUUUAAUUUUUUGGGAUUUCCUUAUUGUGGCUGUUAUUAUUCAUUAUAUGGUCCUAGUUAAAUAUUUCAAGUUGUUGUAGUUAGUGAAUUUCUUUUCGAUAUUUAUUCUGGCAUGUAUAUUUUUUCUUUUCAAUUUCUUUUGUUGCUGAUUCUUUGAUUAUGUUAUAUCCUUUUUUGUUUCCCUUGUAGGGUGGCGUGCCUGGUGCUACCAAUCUGAAAGAAUCUGAAGUAUUAGAAAGCAUUGUGAAGAAGCAGGCUUCAGAUGGGCGUCUUAAUGCUGUUAUCUGUGCUUCACCUGCUGAGGCAUUAGGGUCUAGGGGUCUGUUGAAGGGAUUGAAGGUAAGAAUUAGAUAAACCUUUUUGAUGUUCUGUGGUCUUUUGGGAAUUGCACUGAUAUUUUUGUUAUAGUUCAGUUUUCUUCUCGCUGAUGAUUGUUAAGUUCUAAUUUAUGUAGUUGUUCAUUUUUCGUAGGCUACUUGUUAUCCGUCAUUUAUGGAGCAAUUAGCUCCUGCUUGUGCAACAACUGUUGAAUCAAGAGUACCACAGGAUGGUAAAGUUGUUACGAGUCGUGGACCCUGCACUACUAUGGAGUUUGCUGUUGCACUUGUUGAGCAGUUGUAUGGGAAAGAGAGAGCUGAUGAGGUUUCUGGGCCACUGGUAGUAACUUUUAUAGAUAAUGUUGUUUAAAAAAAUUGUGAGUUAUAUAAUUUGUUGAAAUUCAUUCUAAUAGGUUCAUCUGGUAUGUCAAAUUGGAAGGUUCAGAUGCUAAUGUAGUCCAAAAAAUUAGUUCAGGGGAAAAGUAUGACUUUUUGCAUUAGAGAUUUAUUAGAUGAAGUUGUAUACCUACUGGCCCAUCUUAAUAUGGUGAAAACGAUGUAAAAUCGGGAGAGGGGGUUCGGGGGAGAGGGGAAGCCCUCUCCAACCGCAAGGCCGUUAUUCUGACAUGAAUAGAGUAAGGCCUUUACUUUUAUAAAGAAAGGUCCCUGUUUUGCACGUCUCCACUGAUCACAUUCUUUUUAAUGUAAGUUCUUUCUCUUGGUAUUUGUCUUUGAUUUUUCUCUUCCUCAUGCUGUCGUCUGUCAAAAGAUUUGGCUGCAGCAUCUAGAAGUUUUGAAGAAGCAAAAUGGGUCACACGGCUUUGAAGUUCUAGAUGCCGUAAUGUUUGGUAAAAGUAAAAAAAAAUUCAAAGCUCAAAAAUUCAAAGUUCGAAAAACUGAAAUUUUUGAGCUGUAUGGCUUGUAAUUUUAUAGCCACUUUUUUGACUUUUAAGGAAAAGUUUUACCUAUAAAUACAAGCUCUCAAUUUAGAGCUUGCAUCCAAUUUUGUAAAGAGAGUCGAGAGCUGUGAAAAGCAAUUCUUGCAGAGCAGAGAGUUUGUAGAGCUUAAAUAAUAAAAGCUGUUGUUUUAAUGAUUUGAGAGUUUGGAUGUAUUGGGGUUUUGGGAAGUGAGCUAAAAUACUACAAUACUUGUAACUCCUUUUCACUAGUAAAAUAUUUUUCUUCUAUCUUCACCCAUGGACGUAGGUUAAAAGCCGAACCACGUAAUUUCCUGGUGUCCUCUUUGUGCUUCUUCUUGAUUUUUUUUUCCCAAUUUUACUUUAGUUGCGGCCCUGCUUCACCCGCCAAUUUCCUAACAGCGGUAUCAGAGCUAUUAGUUGUAUUAUUUGGAGUCGGGUACUAUUCACAUACGGUACUGUUCACAUAUACGGUACUAUUCAUGUAUACGUUACUAUUCACGUGAAACGGUGGGAGCAAUUCUAGUAUUGGCGAUGCAAAGCAGGGGAAUAGUGUGUGUGAGUGGAGUAAUUGUGUGGUUUUGGACAUGUGUAAGAAAGUUCUGUCACAAAGGCGAUAAGAGCCUAAGGAGUUAGGAUUUUAAGUGGGACUAUUGUGACCCCUCCAGUCUUUCCUGGGAACUUUCUUGGUGUGCUCUCACACAUACUCACAACUAUUCAAGCUGGUACACUAGUUUUGUACAAUAUUUAUCAACAAAAUGGUGGCAAAGUAUGAAAUUGAGAAGUUUAACGGAAAUAAUUUUUCGUUGUGGAAAAUGAAGAUGAAAGUUGUAUUGAAGAAAAAUAAUUGAUUGGCAGCAAUUAGAGAAAGGCCCAUGGAGAUAACUGAUGACAAGUGGAACAAGAUAUAUGGCAACGCCAUUUUUGAUCUACACUUGGCACUUACGGAUGAAGUAUUAUUCAGUGUGGCAGAGAAAACUACAGCGAAGGAAAUAUGGGAUACUCUCACAAAAUUGUACGAGACCAGGUCACUACACAACAAAAUCUUCUUAAAGAGGAAGCUCUAUACUCUUCGAAUGACGGAAUCUACAAUGGUGACCGACCACAUCAAUACCUUGAAGACUCUAUUUUCACAACUCACAACGUUAGGUCAUAAUAUAGAGGAAAAUGAACAUGCAGAGCUUCUACUUCAAAGUCUACCAGAUUCGUAUAAUCAACUCAUCAUCAACCUGACGAAUAAUAAUCCAGCGGACAGUUUGGUUUUCGACGAUGUUGCAGCCUCCGUAUUAAAUGAGGAGAGCAGGCGGAAAAAUAAGAAAAAUAGACAAGCAAGUUUGCAGCAAGCGGAGGCGUUAUCGGCGACGAGAGGGAGAUCAACGGAACGUGGCUGGCCCCAGUGGGAGUCACAAUCGUGGUAGAUCAAAAUCCAGAAGUAAGAAGAAUGUUAAAUGCUACAAUUGUGGUAAGAAAGGGCACGUCAAGAAAGAGUGUUAGAGUAACCAGAAGAGAAAAGAUGGCAAAAAACCUGAGUCAUCAAAUGCUCAGGGGUGUGUAGCAAGUACCUCGGAUGAUGACGAAAUUCUCUACAGCGAGGCAACAACUGUUUCAGAAGGUAGAAAAUGACUAUAUGAUGUCUGGCUUAUAGACUCAGGAGCUACCUGACACAUGACCUAUCGUAGAGAAUGGUUCCACACAUAUGAACAUAUCUCAGGAGAAUAUGCAUAUAUAGGUAAUGAUCAUGCCUUGGAGAUCGUUAGUAUUGGUACUAUCAAAAUAAAAAUAUUUGAUGGUACAAUUCGCACAAUUGAGGAGGUACAACAUAUCAGCGGCCUGAAGAAAAAUCUAUUGUCUUUGGGACAAAUGGAUAGUCAUAGGUACAAAACUCAUGUGGAGAAUGGAAUUAUGUAGAUCGUUAAAGGCGCGCUUGUAUUGAUGAAGGCAGAAAAGAUCAGUGCUAAUUUAUUCAUGCUUAAAGGAGAAACACUACAGGAGGCUGAUGUAUGUGUCGCGUCAAAUGGAGAAGAGUCAACGAUGAUGUGGCAUCUCAAACUUGGCCACAUGUCAGAACAAGGCUAGAAGAUUCUCUCUGAGUGAAAAUUGCUUCCAGGGUUCAAAUCGGUAAGUUUACCAUUUUGCGAGCAUUGUGUUAUAAGUAAGCAACAUAGAUUAAAGUUCAGUAGAUCUAUUACUAGAAGUAAAUGCAUUCUAGAAUUGAUUCAUUCUGAUGUUUAGGAAUCGCCGGAUAUGUCCAUGGGAGGUGCAAAGUACAUGGUGACUUUCAUUGAUGAUUAUUGCAGGAGAUGUUGGGUGUAUUCAAUUAAGAAAAAGUCAGAUGUAUUUCCAGUGUUUAAAGAAUACAAAGCGCGGGUGGAACUUGAAUUUGGUAAAAGGAUCGAGUGCUUGGGGACAAAUAAUGGUGGAGAGUAUACAGACGGCGAGUUUCUUGCUUUCUGUAAGCAAAAAGGUAUUUAGAGGUAGUUAAUGGUAGCAUACACUCCUCAACAAAACGGAGUGGCGAAGCGAAUGAACAUAACUCUUACAAAAAGAAUAAUAGCUAUGUUGAGGACUGCUGGUCUACCCAAUUCAUUCUGGGCAGAAGCAGCCAAAACUGCCUGUUAUAUCGUAAAUCGAUUGCCAUCUACAACAAUUGGGCUGAAGACAGCGAUGGAGAUAUGGACUGGAAAGCUAGCUGAUUACUCAUACCUACAUGCAUUUGGAUGUCCUGUGUACGUGAUGUACAAUGCCCAAGAAAGAAUAAAGCUUGAUCUAAAAUCUAGAAGAUGUAUCUUCUUGGGAUAUACUGAUGGAGUAAAGGGGUAUCGUCUGUAGGACCCCACUGCCCACAAGAUCGUCAUCAGCAGAGAUGUUAUUUUUUGUAGAAGAUCAACUACAAAGGAAAGAUAGAGAUGAUGACACUGUAAAAGAAAAGUCAGAGACUGUGCCAGUAUAUGUGGAAAAUAAUCCAGAAGAUUCAGAUUCUUCUGAAGCAACACCAGAGCAUGAAGAAUAAGAAUCAGUCGAGUUCGAGGCUCCAGAAGUUCGUCGGUUAACUCGUGAAAGACGACCGCCAACGUGACACUCGGAGUAUGUCACAGAGAUCAACGUUGCAUACUGUUUUCUAACAGAGGAUGGAGAGCCUUCAACUUUCCAUAAAUCUUUAAACAGCUCAGAUGUUACUUUAUGGAUGACAACAAUGCAGGAAGCAAUUGAGGCUCUACAUAAGAACAAGACAUUGGAGCUUGUACCACUACUACGUGGAAGAAAAGAUAUUGGAAACAAAUAGAUCUACAAGAUCAAAUGUGAUGGUAAUGACCAAGUGGAACGGUAUCAUGCAAGAUUGGUGGUGAAAUGAUAUGCUCAGAAAGAAGGUAUUGACUUCAACGGAAUAUUUUCUCUGGUGGUUUGACUCACAACAGUCAGAAUAGUCUUGGUAAUGUGUGCUACAUUUGACUUACAUCUUGAGCAGUUAGAUGUGAAAAUUGCAUUUCUUCAUGGAGAACUUGAAGAAGAAAUUUAUAUGCUCCAACCAGAAGGUUUUGCUGAAAAGGGAAAGGAGAACUUGGUUUGCAGGUUGAACAAAUCUUUAUACGGUCUCAAACAGGCACCGAUGUGUUGGUAUAAGAGAUUUGAUUCCUUCAUCAUAAGCCUCAGAUACAAUAGACUCAGCUCAGACCAAUGUGCAUAUUAUAAAAGGUUUGAAGAUAAUGAUUUCAUUAUUUUGAUAUUGUAUGUGGAUGACAUGUUGGUAGCAGGCCCCAACAAAGAUCGAGUCCAAGAAUUGAAGGUAUAAUUGAUUAGGGAGUUUGAAAUAAAGGACUUGGGACUAGAAAAUAAGAUUCUAGGGAUGCAAAUUCACCGAGACAGAAAUAACAGGAAGAUUUGGCUUUCUCAGAAGAACUACUUGAAGAAAAUUUUGCGACGCUUCAACAUGCAAGAUUGUAAGUCAAUUUCUACCCCACUUCCUGUUAAUUUCAAAUUAUCCUUAAGUAUGUGUCUGAGCAAUGAAGCAGAGAAGGAGGAGAUGUCUCGAGUACCGCAUGCAUCAGCAGUGGGAAGUUUGAUGUUCGCUAUGAUAUGUACUGGAUCGGACAUUGCACAAGCAGUGGGAGCAGUCAGUCGGUACAUGGCAAAUCCUAGUGGAGAGUAUUGGAUAACUGUGAAGAAGAUUCUGAGAUACAUCAGAGGAACCUCAGAUGUUGCAUUAUGUUAUGGAGGAUCAGAGUUUACUGUCAGGGGUUAUGUGGAUUCAGAUUUUGUAGGAGACUUUGAUAAAAGAAAAUCCACUAUUGGCUAUAUGUUUACACUUGCAGGAGAAGCUGUAAGCUGAGUUUUGAAACUGCAGACCGUUGUGGUUUUAUCUACAACAGAAGCAGAAUACAUGGCAGCUACACAAGCUUGGAAGGAAGCUAUCUGGAUACAAAGGUUAUUGGAGGAGUUCGGGCACAAACAAGAGAAAAUUUUUGUGUAUUGUGACAGUCAGAGUGCCUUGCAUAUUGUAAGAAAUCCAGCAUUUCAUUCAAGGACAAAGCAUGUAGGAGUUCAGUAUCACUUCGUUCAAGAAGUAGUGGAAGACGGAAGUGUGGAUUUACAGAAAAUCCAUACGAAGGAGAACCUAGCAGAUGUUUUGACCAAGCCGAUAAAUACUGAUAAGUUUGUCUGGAGUAGAUUCUCUUGUGGCCUAGCAGAAACGUAGGCAACAUGACAGUGGCGAAGCAGAAACGAUGGUGUGGAGAUUGAUUGAUCCUCAAUCAAAUCUCCAAGUGGGAGAAUGUCAAAAGAUUUGGCUGCAACAUCUAGAAGCUGCAUCUAGAAGUUUUGAAGAAGCAAAAUGGGUGGCACAUGACUUUGAAGUUCUAGAUGCUGUAAUGUUUAGUAAAAGAAAAAGAAAAAAAUUCAAAGCUAAAAAAUUCAAAGUUUGAAAAUCUAAAAUUUUUGACCUGUAUGGCUUGAAAUUUUAUAGCCACGUUUUUUACUUUUGAGGCAAAGUUUUGCCUAUAAAUACAAGCUCUCAAUUUAGAGCUUGCAUCCAAUUUUGUAAAGAAAGUCGAGAGCUGUUAGAAGCAAUUCUUGCAGAGCAGAGAGUUUGUAGAGCUUAAAUAAUAAAAGCUCUUGUUUUAGUGAUUUGAGAGUUUAGGUGUAUUAGGGUUUUGGGAAGUGAGCUAAAAUACUACAAUACUUGUAACUCUUUUUCACUAGUAAAAUAUUUUCCUUCUGUCUUCGCCCGUAGAAGUAGGCUAAAAGCCGAACCACGUAAUUUCCUGGUGUCCUCUUUGUGCUUGUUCUUUAUUUUUUUUCAAUUUUAUUUUAGCUGCGGCCCUGCUUCACCCACCAAUUUUCUAACAUCGUCUUCACUGUCACCCUGUGCCUAGGUAAUGC
rnacentral:lncRNA from 1 species